rnacentral:lncRNA from 1 species
GAAAAUUCUUCUUAAUAAAGAUUAUUGUGAAGUUUGUAUUUAGUGAGAUUAUUGAACAAUGGUUGAAGUAAACAUUACUUCCAUUCAAAGUUGAUUUUGUGAGAUUGAGAUUGUUUCUUAAUUUUGUUGAAAUGUGAGAUUUCGUAUGAAUUACUGAAAUUUUUGGUUUAUGAGUUAAUCGGGUAGUGAAUGGAUAAUGGUAAGCGAAUCUGGGACUGCUAAGAGUAGGGAAUUUUAAUUUUUUAAACGGUUUGAGACAGGUUCCAACAGUGUAUUUAUAAACGCUUCAGAUUUUGGGUUUGGGAACUUAAAAUUCCGUGGCUACCCUACCUGGUACCAUCCCUACCUACUUGCAUUGGUUUCACCAGAAAUAGUUGCAGUUCUAAUUCUAUUCAAGUUGAGUUUUACUUCAUUGACGUCAAUAAAGAAAAAUCACACUUACAAAAUUGAAUAUGUCAUUUUCCUGAAACGAGCCUAAGUCUGGCAUUCAGAAUGCAUCUGAUAUGGAUAUCAGUAUUGCUGUUAUAGUUUUUCGUGUUUGAUGUUAGUACUUUGAUAUGGUGGAAACAAUUCUAUUGAAGGUAGUCUAAAGUUGCAUUCUUGUUUUAUUUGUGGAUUAGUACGGUGGGCGUUGUUGAAAGUUGAGUUUAGCUAUUAAUUCUGUUUUGGGCAAUGCUUGAUGUUAAUAUACUGUAUUGUGUUAAAAGCUUGAGCAUGUGUCUCAUUGAUAUGUCUACAAAGUUGGAAUUUGGAUUUAUCUAAGUGACUGUUUGAUGGAAUGCCUCAGUGAAAAGUUUCCACGCCAACAUAUUAAUAGAGUCCAUGCUUUUUCCCUUCUAAUUGCAGCUUUUCCUUCGGAUAUUAUUCUUGUUAUGCCCAAAGAUUUCUGUGAUUUAAUAAUUUAUUCAUCCAUUUAAAGAAAAAUUUCUCCCAUUUUCAGGUGAUUGUCUAUUAAUUCAGCUACCCCUUACUACACUACAAGAUGACUAAUAACUUGGGAUGUUUUAUAAACUUCUACUGUCAAGUUUUUGAUAUGCAUCAGUUAUUAUUCCUUGGAAAAUAUCACAGAUCAGAGAGAGAUUAGAAACCAAGUUUCAUUUGGUUUAAUGCAAAAUUCUUGAUAUGUGAUUUGGAAAUAGAUUAGAGAUCACAUUUCCAAAGCCAAUGAUAGGUCACAAAAUAGAUUAGAGUUCAUGUAUCUUUUAGCUGUGAUCGUCUUCCAUUGUUAACAUGGUUGUUGAUGUUCAAGAUGCAUGUAUAAAUAUGAUGAGAUUUGUUAUUAGUAAGUCUCAUUUUGCUCGUUCUGUGGUUCUGAAUACUUGGAGGCUAAUGCACAUGGAGCUAUGUGAAUUAGUUUGGGAUUUGUUUCGGAACAGAUUAAUUCUUGCUGAAAUUUGUGGAAAAGAAAAGUAAUGCCAAUAUCAUGUGCCAUACUUCUAUUUAAUUACUGUCUUUUUUUUUUCAUUGCAUUUCUACUUUCUAAACCUUCUUUUUCCCUAAAUGCAUAAUGAGGCUAAUUGGAGAAGCUAUGGAUAAUCUAGAAACAUUUGAAGCACUUGAAUAUGGUAAUAUUAGCUGAAAUUGUUAUUAUUAUUUUUUAAGUUUGUACAAACAUUUGUCUAAUAUAUAUUCUGAUUUUUUUAGACUUCUCUGAACUGUGUCAAACAACAAUUGGAGAAUAGCGGUUUCUAGAGCUUAGAGAUUUUAAUCAAUUUUUUAUAUAAUUUUUAAAUGUAUAUUAUUUUAUUUACUUUUUGUUAAAAAUAUCACAUGAUAAAGAUUUAGUUACAUGUUUAAAGAAACUGCUAGUUGAUAUGAUGUUUCCUAAUAAAAAAAUUCAGUUCAUCUAUGCCCUUGCACAGUUAGAAAGCUUUCACGUUGUAUGGCGGAACUAGUAAUUCAAUCCCAACCGAUUAAUCCAACAAAUUUAAGCUGUUGGGUUGGAUCAGUUUAAGCAAGCUUUCAUGUUAACAUAUGUAAGCUUGGAUUGGGUUGGAGGCACUUGCAAUCCAAGCCGACCAUGAACUAUCCUAGUAUUACAUUCCUUUUCUUUCUUAUGUGUGUGCAUUUCUAUUUACCAAGAAAUGCUUAUAUAUAUCAGUGGGAUUUAGGGCAAAAGUCAUAAUUCUUCAUUAUAUAAUAACAUUUGACAAGACUAUUCAAGAUAUAUUCUAAUUCUUUGGUAUUAAUGUUGCUUUCGUGUAUUGUGAUAACAGGCUCGAAGGUUAAGGGUUUAGAGAAGAUUAUGAGGAGAGGUGAUUGGACUUUUGAGGGUAGCUCCUUUUUUGAAUCAUGGAGAAAUAGAGAAUUUGUACAAUGAAACAAUGUGGUUGCUGUGUUUCUUGAAAUUACUACUGCAGUCUCUGUAACAGUUGGAAAAAAAAUCAAAGAGGAUAUAAGGAGGAGGAAAAUAGUACUAUAGAAGGUGGAGUGAGGAAAAUGGAAUGCAAUAAAGAUGAGGCUGCCAAGGCAAAAGAGAUUGCUGAGAAGAAAUUUUUCGCAAAGGACCUUGCAGGAGCAAAGAGAUUUGCAUUGAAGGCCCAAAAUUUGUAUCCUGGGCUUGAGGGUGUUAUGCAGAUGGUAGCAACACUUGAUGUUUACAUUUCCGCUGAGAACAAAAUAAAUGGCGAACCAGAUUGGUAUGGAAUCCUUGGUGUGGAUCCAAAAGCGGAUGAUGACACAGUUCGGAAGCAGUAUAGGAAACUUGCUCUCAUGCUUCACCCUGACAAAAACAAGUCUGUAGGAGCUGAUGGUGCAUUUAAGCUUAUUUCUGAGGCAUGGAGUUUAUUGUCUGACAAGUCUAAGAGAGCAGUACAUGACCAAAAGAGGAGAAAUUCUAAAGUAUCAUCUCAAAAGGCUACAAACCCUGCUGGUGGUCCAUCAACAACAGCAGGGUCUGGUGGUUUUUACAAUUUUGCAAAAUCAAGUGCGAAGGCACACAAGAGUACUCCUCGUACUGGUCAUUCUUCAACUCCCGUUGCAUCUCAGAAGUCAAAGCCCAAUACCUUUUGGACUGUAUGUCAUAGAUGCAAGAUGCAGUAUGAGUAUCUCAGGGUUUAUCUUAAUCAUAAUCUCCUAUGCCCUAAUUGCCAUGAGCCAUUUUUAGCUGUUGAAACAGCUCCUCCACCUUCAAAUGGUUCUAAAACUUCCACCACAUGGAAUUUUUCUCAGCCGAGGCAGGGUUCAAGUCAUCAUGCUGCCAGUAAAAACACAUCAAAUUCUGCAAGCAACAAUGUGCCUCCUCCAAAUGCAGGAUCUGUCAGAACAGACUCGUAUAGUCAGACCAACUUCCAGUGGGGUCCAUUCUCUAGAGCAGGCGGUGCUUCAUCUGUUGCUCAAGCUGCUACUGUGGUACAGCAGGCAUAUGAAAAAGUCAAGAGAGAGCGUGAGGAAGCUCAGGCAGCCACAAAAAGAGAGGAGGCCCUUAAGAAAAAGAAUAAUGUCUCUAAAAGGACAGGGGGUGUGUCCUCUGGUGGAUAUUCUAAUUCUGCGAAGAGGAGGAAAACCAUGGAAGAUGUUGGUCUAAGCAACCAUGAAAACAAUGCUACAAAUCAAAUGGCUGCAGGAGGAGCUAGCACCUCUGAUAUAUCUGGUUCUAAGAAAGGUAAUUUUGGAACAGGUAGUGUCAGUGGAGUCACGCAGCCCUGUGGCACAAGGGAUGUCUCCCAGUUUGGAAUUCAAACCUUACUAAUGGAGAAAGCUAGAAAAGAAAUUAGUCAAAAACUAAAUGAAUGGAACUCAGCUACAGCAACUAUAUCUUCUGUUAAAAAUGAGAAGAGUAAUGUGAAAGAAAAUGAUGGAGGAGAAACAUCUGAAGGAAAGCCUGAAAUGUGUGAUCAAAAUAAGUUUGCUCAGCAACUGGAUCCAGAUAAUGGAAUACAUGGCAUAAAGCUUUCUUCUGGAUCUUCUAGUACAAAAGCAGAUUUAGACCCUUCGGAAACAAUGUCAAUAGAUGUCCCAGAUCCAGAUUUUCAUAACUUUGACAAGGAUCGAACUGAAAAUUGUUUUGAAGAAAACCAGGUUUGGGCUGCAUAUGAUGGAGAUGAUGGGAUGCCUCGAUACUAUGCAAUGGUCCAUAAAGUAAUCUCUUUGAAUCCGUUUAAAAUGAGAAUAAGUUGGCUUAAUUCAAAGACUAACACUGAACUGGGCCCACUAAACUGGGUUGGUUCAGGCUUCUCAAAAACUUGUGGUGAAUUCAGAGUAGGGAGAUAUGAGGUUUACAACUCACUUAAUUCCUUUUCACACAAGGUCAAGUGGACAAAAGGUAGUCGUGGGGUAAUUUGCAUAUACCCUAAGAAGGGAGAUGUUUGGGCACUAUAUCGGAAUUGGUCUCCUGAAUGGAAUGAGCUGACAGAAGAUGAGGUGAUACACAAGUAUGACAUGGUAGAGGUACUAGAAGAUUACAGGGAAGAACUAGGUGUAACUGUUGCUCCACUAGUUAAGGUUGCGGGUUUCAAGACAGUGUUCCACCAGCAUUUGGACCCUGGAGAAAUCAGACGUAUUCCAAAAGAAGAGAUGUUUCGAUUUUCCCAUCAUGUUCCCUCAUACUUGCUUACUGGUCAAGAAGGUCCAAAUGCUCCGAAAGGUUGUCGGGAGUUGGACCCAGCGGCUACUCCAUUAGAACUACUUCAAGUAAUAAUAGAUGUUAAGGAAGAAGAGAUUUUAGUUGAAGGGGCAAAGCAAGAAAAAAGAUAACAAAAGCCUGAUGUUGAAAAAGAUAGUGAUAAGAAAUGGGAACAAAACCUGUAAAAAAGCCAGGGAGGAGAAGAAGGGAAAGUAUAAAGAUGGUGAAGUAAAUUAUAGAUGAUACCGCUACCACUAAAUAUAAGUGGUUCUUGCGGCUGAAAAGGCAGUUAAUUGAGUUUUAGGUUAAUAUAUUUUAUGUGGAUAGAUUAUUGAUGCGAUGUUGAAACAUGUUCAACUCAUUGGCAUGGAAAUAUGGCUGCAAUUUUGUUUCAGAUCAUGUGGGCUAGAUGACCUAUUAACCAUGGUAAUUUCUUGCUUGUUUCUAGCUAUACCCCCUUUUUUUUUUUAAAAAAAAAAUAUAAUUCAAUAGCUGGUUCUGGAUUCAUAUGGAUACCUUCAUUGCUAGCAUUUGUGCCUGCUUACAUAUCCUCUAGGAUUAUGUUGGCAACCUUGGAGAAAUAUGAUUCACCAGCAAAUAGAUCUUUGUUUUUCAUUUUUCAUUUGUUUUGGUUUCAUUGUGAUUUCUCUUAAAAUUUUUGAUAUUAUGGAUUAAGUAGCGACCAGUGAACCAUAUCUUUUUUCUAAAUUUUUGACCUUUGAAUUGUUUUAACAAAUUUUGGUAGAAUCUUCUAUGUAACAAUAAGCUAAUUCUAACUUUGCUUCAUUUGACAUGUAAUGCUAUUUUGGUUCUUUUUGUUCUUGUUUCUUGUACCUCACAUUCCUAUUUACAAAAAGCAAACACUAUGUUGUUCUUAAAUAUUAAGUAUCUUUAUUGACAUUUUCUAAGAUGAUUGCUGCAGAUUGUAAUUAACUUUCUACAUUAUCUGACAACAUAUAUUGGUCAGGAUUGAUUCCAAUGUCUGAAGCUUGUUCUCAUAAAAAAAAUUCAGUCGUUGGAUUUGCUAUCUUUGAGCACCAAAAUAUAAUUUUCUCUCAGUUUAUAUUUCUUGUUGGAUUGAAAUUUGAAGAAUGAUGCUAUUUUUUUUAAAAAAUUUUCUCAUGAAAUUUUGUUUCCUCUCUCUGUCUCUGUCUCUGUCUCUGUACAUAUGGAGAGAGAGAGAAAAUUACCUCAAUGUCUAUAGGGUUUGCCAUUAUUUAUUAGUUUGUCUGAUUGUCUCUGUAGUUUAACAUUUAUAUUAAAUAUUUUGUAGGUUUUAAUUCCAUAUAUUGACAAGUCCUUUGUCCAAAAUCGAAGUUGUUUUCUGUUGGUCAAUCUAUUAUAAGAUAGUCAAAAGAGAGGAAAACAUAUUUAAUGACAAUUACACCCUCUCUCUCUCUUUCUCUCUGUUCUCCCUCUCCCUUCCCCAAAAAUUAGAUUGAAGCUAUCUUCAGUUCUUUACGCUUAAAUUCCUUCGUCUACCUUAAAGUUUGAGUGUCGAUUGGCUAACGGAAACACAUAUGCUCAUCUGCUGAAAAUAAAAGCAAAUGGAAUGAAAUUGGAGAUAGUGAGAGAAAAUCCCAACAGGAGCAAGGGAUUAACAAUUUGUUGUUGCCAAAGAAAUGACUGGGAGUGAUCAUGAAUGCCAAUGAGAUGAGCCAGAGAAGAAGGUGAAGAGUGAAUUUCUAUGGACCACCUACUUUGGGUUUUGAUGCUCGUGAACACAUGCUGAGUCCUGGUGAGUUUGAUGAUGAGCUAUAAGAGAAGGAUGGAUUUUCCUUGCAGUCAUGGGAGAAGAUGAGUGCCUUUUUGUUUGAUAUGGCAUUGGAAUGUUGGACUUUCUACUUUUAUCAUUCAGAUCGAGCCAUUGAUUAUCUUCAUGCAAUAACGUUUCUGUAGACCUGAGAAACCUGAAGCUAGGUUGGAAUUCUGUAGAAGGCCUUCAACCACCAGAUUUUGCUAAUGAGUGCAAGAAGGAAUGCAUUGGAAGUUUUAUGGUCAUGGUUAAUAUUUUUGGGUGGCCCAAUGUUGAUAGUUCUCCAUUAUUGGAAAUUUUCCUGCUGUCCCUUUGGCAGGAAUACAUUGUGGCAGGAAACAGGACGUCACGUUUCAGUAUUGAACGAACAUGGAAGUUUGGAACGCAAGAAAGCACUCCCAGUUAUGUGCAUGUAUUUGGCGCUGUAUACGAGUGUACUUGGGAAAAGAAAGCGAGGGAUGAAGGAUUGAGGAGAAGGCAGAGAUAGGAAACUAUAUUUCCAGGUAGGGUAAUUUAGUCUUUUUAUCAUUAAUUAAUAGCAAAAACUAUUAGAUGGAAUUAAAACUCGGGCACUUUUUAAUGUAAAUAUUAAAAUACAUGGACAAACUAACAAAUAAUGGCAAAUCCUAGAGACAUCAAGAUGAUUCUCCUUUUAUUUUUUUUGUUACUUGAUUGGAUCAGCUUGCCAUAUAUAUAGAGGAGUCUAUUGAUCUGGUAGGUAAAUUUUUGUUAUUGAGCAACUUUCUUCUUUAAUGGAUGAGAAUCUGUAUUCAUGGUUGCUGAUAAUUUUUCUUUCUACAACUACUUUAUUCCAGGAACAAAUGGAGACAUGACCGUAGUAUACAAUGUUUUUGCAAACUAUAGCUGAUGGUUGUGAUAUCUUUUCCUCAUUAACCUGUAGCAGAGAUUAAAAUACCUUUUACUGGAUCAGUGGUUUUUUCUUGUUCUGAAUUACUUAUCCUUAAUAAAAAUCAUCCGAUUCUCUGACUGGUGAUACAUUUUCUUUUGGCAUGUUUUAAACAUUGUUGGAUGUCUGGUAGACAUCUUGAUUCUUCCUUAUUGGUUCUGAUUAUUCUGAUAUAUAAUAUGCAUGGAAAUAGCUUUUAAUACGUCUAAUCCGACUGGAUUUGUUGUUGUAUUAAUAGGAUGGUAGUGACUGAUAACUAGCCAAAGUAUUAAAACUUCAAACCUUGUUGGGUAAAUUAUGUAAAAUUUGUUAAAUGAUGGCCGAAGAUGGACCUGGAUGAAAGUUCUGCUCAGUUUGGUGCUUAUUCCAGUUGGGAAUUGCAUAGUAUGCGUGUUUGAACAGUUUAGGUCUUGAUUGAUUUAGAGUAACUCAAUUAGGGAACUUAAAGUUUUCUGAAAGUGUUGAAAUUGUCUAUUUGGUUGGUACAAGUUAAAGGCAUUUCUUUCCUUGGAGAGAAAGUACUUACCUCCCUUAAUCUAUGUUAAGUGAACCAAAUAAAGUCCUAACUUGUUUCCUGGAAUUUUAGGUCUACUAUCUUAGUACAAAAUGAAAGUUCAGAACUAAACUGUUUUUUUUUUUUUAUUUAUUAAAAAGUGUGAACUAAGUGGUCUCCUUAAAUAGUCUUAGGAAUUAAACUGUAAAUUACACAUUUUUAUUGUAAUUUAGCAAAUUCAUUUGGUAAAAAAAGUCAAAUUUGCCCAUAAACUUUGUCAGUAUUAAAAAUAUUAAAUUUCAUUUUUCAAUUUAAAUUUGCUAAAUAGUUUUAUAUUUAUAUGUAUUUUUAAUGAUAACUUAUGACAAUUGAUGGUUUAUAGGUAUUUUUAAUGAUAAUUUAAGUGUAAAAUUUGAAAAGUAAAAUUAUUUCUUUUUCCUUCUAUAAUUGAAGGGUAAAUUUGGUCUUUUAUUCCAUCUUGUUUUAUCAUUAUUUUUUGUUCUGUUUUUAUUAUUGCAUUAUUGAAACUGGUCCUUUCUUUUGUUAUAACCCCAAAACAAUGACCUCAAAUGACAAUUGUUGAUCCAGUCUCUUUAUUCUGGUUGAUACAAACAAACAUAUAUUAAGUUUGUUUGAUAUUAUUGCUAGAGUUGUUGAGAAAUAUAUUUUUAAAAAUACUAUUUAAAAAAUAUGAAAAAAUAAUUUAAAAUUAUUUUUAAUAUAAUUUAAUUAUAAAAAUAUUAAAAUAAUAAAAUAGCUUUUGUCAAAUUGUUUUCUUCAACAUUUUAAAUGAGUGAAAAAAAAGUAAUUUUUAUGCAAAAAAGUAUUUAAUAUUUGCAAAAGAAAUAAUUUCUGAUAAAUUAUUUUUACGUUCUUAAAAUAUGUUUAAGUUAUGAUAUUUUGAGAAUCAGUAAAGAGUAGAUUCAAUAUGUAUUUUGAUAAGUUUAGAUCAAUUUUUUUUUCUUGUUUUCUUUAUCUCUUUAUCCUUAAAUUCUCUAGUCAUACAUAAUUGUCAUCUUAUAUUUAUACUUCUUGUCAUUGUCAUAUUGAGCUGUACGUAUGAAUGUACUGUGUUAUUUUUUAUCGUUAGGCAGUUAUUUAAUUUCUUUCGGUGUCAUGUGAAUAUGAUUUCGGAUAUUUUGGAGUCUAUUGUUUUAUGGAUCCAUCAAGACAAUUGAGUUAGGCUUUCCACAUGUAGGUUCGAACCUUGUUUGGUCCGUCCAAGCGAGACUUAGACUUUGUGUUGUGGAGCAUAUUUAUGCAUUUUGUUUUGAUAGAGUUAAAGUUUGACUUUUUCCACACGGGUUUGGUCAUAAUUGGGGUAUCCAAGUUUGCUAGUCAUUAAGUGUUUUUUUACUUGCUCAUUAAUUAUUUCAUGAUUAAUGAAGGAGUAAAUCUCAAAACUCUAAUAUUAUUGCUCGGCUCUAAGAGUGCUCUUGUCAAAACGUCUCCUCUUCGCCUUUAUACAUUUUAAAUUGACGCUUUUGAUUUCACCCGCUGUUUGCCUUUUGUGUUGCUUCUGCUAUUUUGCUCUCUCUUCUCUGUAAUUUCUGUUUUUCUAAUCCGAGGUAUGUCCUAUUCUUCUUAUAGCUUUCACUAGAAUUUUUAAUGUUGUGGGUCUAGUGUCCUCUAUCACCCCUUUCUCUCUUUCUCAUUACUUUUUUAGCGAUUAUGUUGAUACUAUCAUCUAUAGGAAUAGAGCUCCUUUACCUAACGAGAGGAUCGUUCUUCCUUACCCUCCUCUGGUGGGUCUGGUAGACGUCCAACAAGGAUGCAACGUAGUCUUUUUCGUCAAACAAUACGAUUUUGCAUUGAUAUUCCCUUUUACCUUUUUUUCAUUGAGAUUUUCCAUUAUUUUAGGGUGACUCCUUAAAUGCUAUCUCUCAAUUCCAUUUUCUUCCUGUGUUACUUUGAGUCUGUGUACUUGUGCUGGAAUUUUGCUCCUUCAUCGAGUUGUUUUGUACUUUCUUCCAUUUUGUUAGGUUCAUCUAUGGGUUCUACUACUUUGAUCCCGGGGUAGGGUUGUCCAUAUUCGCUGGAUAUAAAGACUCAAUAAAAGAUUGGGCUGAUACUUUCAUUGUUGUCAAGCUGAAUGAGAGCUGAAUGAGAGCUUGAGGAUCAAUUGAGAUGUCGAUCUCUCCUGAGUUGAGGUUCUUCAUGGCUGCAAUGACUUUUCUAAGUUAAAUCUAGUAGACCAUAUUUGCCUUUUUUGACUAAUCUUGAUAAAUAAGAAGUAUGACGUCGAGAAGUAAAUGUUUAUGUCCAAUCUUCGAAAUCACCAGAAGCUGGUACUAUUUUCUAGUUUUUUUUUUAUUAUGUUUUCUUGUUGUUUUGGGCUCUAACUGAAUUCACACUUCCUUUUCGGCUUCUGCGGUGUCAAUGAACUCCAUCGAGUUCCUGAAGACUUUCAUUCUGUUCUGAAAGAGCAUGAAAGUGACUCUGGCCGCCUUUAAGGCUAACAAGACUGUAGCUAAUGUGACACGGGAGGUCUUUCAGGCCACGUCUCCGGCUUUUGUAGCUCGUCGUUCUACCCCUGCCUCUGCCCCUACCCUUGCGCUUUCUCUAGAUUUAGUGCUUGCGGCAUAGGACUCCCGCUCUACUGUCUCGAGGAUGUCAAUCCCCUUUAAAAUGCCGGUUUUUGCCAGACUCCUGCUCCUAAGGAGACACUUAAAGAGCGCUUUAAGCUCAAUGAGUUGGUCGAUAGCAACUCGGAAGAGAGCAUCAGAACUGCUCCUCUAGAUCUCCCACCUAUCCAGCCAGUUGGGCCCGUUGUGAUUAGGGUUGGGGUUGCCAAGCAAGCUAAGACUUCAGAACCUGCAACAGAGAGCAGGGCUGCUAAGCGUGCCCGUACCUCAAAGCCUGCAAGGGCAACCCUUUCCUUUUCAAUUGAUAAGGGAAAUAAAGUGAUGGAGCACUUAUCAUCUGUCCCAGACAAUGAACUGUUAAAGGCCGCCAAGGUGACUGCUGAGUCCACGUCAGCCUCUAUAGCCAAUAUGUUGUGCAAGAGAAUGUUCGGGGGUCCCGGACGCUUCUGAUCCCCGCUUUCUGGUUCUCAUCAAUCAUCUCGCCUACUCCACUAAGCAAUAAGCGGUCUUCAAUUCACGCUCCUUGAAAGACCUUGGGGACAGUUUGAGGGAAAUGUUCCUCAUAAAUGACUCUCUUGAUGGUAUUUUUGAUUUCUUAACUGUCAUAACCUUGUUUUUUCUUUUCUAUGGCAGACUUUUGGAGUGUUCAUAGAAAUUGACGCCCGAAAUCGGUCCUUCCAAAGCUCGGUGGAGCUGCGUAUUGUUAAGGAGUGUUGAGAUGAAAACAUAUUUACCAGUAGUGAGGCCUUCGAGCACAUCAUCGAAUUCUAAUAGCAAAUCGAGAAUCUCAUUAAGCAGUUGGGGGAGAUGGAGGAAGUUACCAGGGCUUCCGAACGGGCUUCUGCAGUAGAGUCUCGGUGGGAUGAGAUUUUAAUAUAGCUGUCUACUUUGAAGGAGUCCUGUUGUCAGCACGAUAAACCUUUAGCUCGUGUUACUGUCCUCCAGCAGAAACUCAAUAAAUAUAUUAAGGGACUUUAGCGGCGGCGAAGUCCCUCCUUCAAUAGCAAUAACUCUGCUAAAAGGUCUCUAUUCUGGAGGAGAGAUAUACUUCGUUGCUGAGAGAUGUCUAAAGGACAGGGUCUAGUAGGCCUGUAUGGAGCGUUCUUCAUAGUUGAAGGAGAAAAUCCAGUAGGCCUAUGAAGCGCGACUGGAGGAGUAUAAGGCCUUUGCAGAAUUAAAAGAAAGAAUAUAUGAAGAGGCCUUCUACAUGUUCAAUUCGGACUUCAAUCAGGGCCUUAAAGCAACUAAGGAUGCCCUCUAUACUCUUGAAGUGGACUUUGACGGCGAGGAGGUCUGCUACGGGAGGAUGACAAUUCUUUGUCUAAGAAUGCUCCUCCUUUGCCUUCUGGGCUAUAGGGGGAAUACUGCAGAUAAUAAUCCCAUCAAUGACUUAAUUAAUUCUACUCUCUCUUCCCUUGCCGCUGUAACCCAUUUUAACGGUUAAUAAAGAUUUUGAAUUUUUCUGUUAUUUUUCAUCUAUUUUCUUUUAAUUUUCUUGUUUAUUAAAUUUUACCUCUAUUCUCAUACUUAGACUUUUCAUGUAUGUUGCCCGUAAGCUGUGUUGGGUUGUUACUCGUUUGUUUAUUUUGCUUGUAAAACGUCUAACUUAUUAUAUUUUACUCUUUGUUUAUCGAAUGCCUUAGUACUUUUUGCCUUCUGUUCUUUUGGAGUCUUUAGUUGGCUGAGCUUUUGUUUGUUAUUGCAUUUAGUUUUCACACAACCCUUUGCCUCAAUUUAUAUUGCUCUCGAGUUAUAUUUUUUACUAACUCGUAUUUUGUCACUCGCGGAUUUAUUUUUGAGUUAGUAUUAGGGGUUAAUAUUAUUUCGAUCUUGCCUUGACUUUAUUUCUUUUUGAGCCUUAGAGGCAUUGAUUUCUUUUUCGAAGUCGACAUUAUGCUUUAGCUUUACAAGCCUUAGAUUAGUUUUCUGUGAGCCGAACUCUUUUGUGAAGUUGGUAUUGAAUUUUGCUUUGUUUUCCUGGGAGUCAAGCCUUUUUAUAAGGCCGGACUAGGUCUUUGCCUCGUUAUCUUGUGAACCGAGCUCUUUUGUGAAGUUGGAACCCGAUUCUUUACUAAUUUUUCUGUGAUUCAAGCUCCUAUAUGAGAUAAGAACCAAGUUUUUUACUUGUUUUAUUGUGAUUCAAACUCCUUUAUGAGGUCAAAAUUAUGCUUAAUUUUAUUUUUAUGUGGACUUUGUAUACGUCGAGGUCUUUUCUUGAAGUCAGCCUCAUAUUUUUGGAUCUUUUUUUUUUUUUUUUGGCUUAUAGCCUUGCUGGUGUAAGUCUUCAUUGCUGGUCUUUAUCCUCUCAAUCAGUUUUAGGGUGUCGACGAUCUUAUUUUCAAGACCGAUCACCUACCUCAUUGAGGGUUUUGUUUUCCUAACCGAUUUUGUGGUGCUGCGGUCUUAUUUCGAGACCGAUCACCUACCAAAAUUUAUUUUGAGAUCGGUCAACCACCUCAUUGAGGUCUUCAUCUCCUCAACCGGUUUUGUAGUGUCGACUAUCUUAUUUUCGAGACCGAUCACUAUCUCAUGGAGGGCUUUGUCUCUCUAACCAGUUUUGUGGUGCCGACGGUCUUAUUCCGAGAUCGGUCACCCACCUCAUUGAUGUCUUCAUCUCCUCAACUAGUUUUGUGGUGUUGACGGUCUUAUUUUCAAGACCAGUUACCUACCUUAUUGAAGACUUUAUCUCCCCAACUGGUUUUGUAGUGUCAACGGUUUUAUUUCGAGAUUAGUCACCCACCUUAUUGGGGUCUUCAUCUCCUCAACCGGUUUUGUGGUGCCGGCGGUCUUAUUUUCGAGAUUGGUCACCGAUUGAGGACUUUGUCUCCUCAAUCGAUUUUGUGGUGCCAGCGGUCUUAUUCCGAGACCGGUCAUUUACCUCAUUGGGGUCUUCAUCUCCUCAAUCAGUUUUGUGGCUCCAGCAGUCUUAUUUUCGAGAUUGAUUACCUACCUCAUUGAGAGUUUCGCCAUCUGCUUAGAAGUGCUUUGGGAGUAGGAAAAAUGAUCUCUUCUAGGGCAUCCUGGUUGCUUCUCAACUUUUUCCCAUUGGUGCUUUCAUCAUUGAAUUGGACCUGAUGAGUAGAGAUUUGUAACUUUAUGGGACUACUGCUUCUAUUCUAAAUGUCAUAGCAAACGACGUCUCCCCUAUUGGUGUCCGAGGUGUAGUCUGGAAUACCCACGAGAUGCUAUGCAGUUCGAUUGCCCAAUUCUUUUUAGCAUCAUCUAACUGUUUCUUCAACUCUUGGAGGAUAGCUCGGUUUGUCAUCUCUGUUUGGCCAUUCGUCUGUGAAUGAGCUACUAAAGAAAACUUGUGCCACAUACUCAUGUUCCUUGUGAAAUCUCGAAAAGAGUUGCGGUUUAAUUGCUUUCCAUUGUUUGAUAUAAGCAUCCUGGGUAUCCCAAAUCAACAUAUAAUAUUGCCCUACAUGAAGUCUAUCACUUUCCAAGCCGUGAUGGUGGGUACGGCCUUUGCCUCGAGCUACUUAAAGAAAUACUACACAGCUAUAAUCUUGAACCUCUUUUACUCCACGGUCUUAAGGAAUGGAUCUAGGAUGUCUAUCCUCCAUUGUAAGAACAGUCAUAGGCUCGAUAUGCUUCACUACAGCGUGGCAGGGCUAUUGAUAGCUUUGGCAAACCUUUGGCAGAUAUCUCACACCUCUUCACAAAUUUUGCGGUUUCUUUCUUCAAUGUAGGUCAGUAGUACCUUUGCUGGAAAAUCUUAUUUGCCAACGUGGUUGCUCCUUCAUGAACUUUGCAGACCCUCUGGUAUAUCUCUUGGAUCACCCUAGAUACCUCUUCCGAGCCUACACAUCUUAGCUAUGGGCUGGACUUCCCUCUUCGAUAUAGAAUUCUUCUUACUCUUUGAUAAUUGGCUGCUUUAGUUGCGAUUUUUCGAGCUUCUACUUUGUCUUUAGGCAAUUUUCCGAUUUCGAGGUACUCUAGGUAUGGGGUUAUCCAGCUUCGUUCUUCAUCAAUUUGCACGAUGGGGGCUGACUUUUCAAAGGUAGGGAUGUCAAUUUGCUGCACAUACACUUCGUCUCGGAGCUAUUCUAGUUCUUCCACAAAUAAUUUGUUGUAAAGUCUGUCUUUUCAUUCUCUUUUUAGGGUAUUCUUUGCUAAUUGACAACAAUUUCUUGCUCACCGAGCUCGUACUUUGGCUAAAUACUUCUGCAUGAUGGGAUCCUUUGCCUGGUAUACUCUCGUUACUUGAUUCGCUACUAACUGAGGAUCACUGUUUAUUCUAAGGUCAGUUGCCUCCACUCCUAAGGCUAUCUGCAUUCCAUUCAGAAGAGUUUCAUAUUCCACCAUAUUGUUAGAUGCUAGGAAUUUAAAGCGUAAGGCAUAGCGUACUUUGAACUCAUCAUGCCCUUUUAGUAGAAUUCCUACCCUACUACCUGUGAAACUCGAUGCUCAUCUGCGAAUAGAUUUCACCUAGAACUCAUGCUGAUGUUAGUUCCCAUCCCCUUCUUCCACUGAACUCAACAAUACAUCAUUAUGCUCUUCAUUAUUUUAUCCGAGCUGAAAGAGCACUCAGCUAUAAAGUCAGCUAAGGCCUGAGUCUUGAUUGCCGUUUGAGGCCGGUAAAUGAGGCAGUACAGACCGUUUAGUCUUAAAAAAAUUCCCACUGAAUAGACCGUUUAGUUUUUAAAAAAAUUCUUAAAAAAGCAUGUAUAUCUUGAACACCCCUUAAAUGGUUCAACAACUUUUGUUUCCUCAGAGAAAACAUUACAAAAAAUAUGCUUGUUCUGAUCCUUUAAAUUGCUAGUAAAAUUCCUCACCAUUUCCAUAACGGAGCUCCUCCUUUUCUAGUUACCUUCUAUGAAUGAGCUAAACGAAUCAUGAGGUAAACAUAUAGCUUGAAAAUGAAACAAUCUUGCCAUAUGGAUAUUGUGCAUAAAUGAAUUUGAUUUUAGCAAAAAUGGGAACAAUCUUGUUAUAAGUUUUUGAACUCUUAUGAAAUUAAUUAAUUUAUCUCUAUUUCAAAAUCAUGCAAUUAAAACUUACCUAUAUUUGUAAAAUUUAAUUAUUUAAUCUUUUUGUUAAAAUACUUAUUAUUUGUAGAGAAGUAGUAUUUCUUAUGCUCAUUACAAAGGAGAUUAUAACAUAUUUAUACAUAAAAAAAAAAAAAAAUCUAUCUAGAAAGGAAAGGGAAUUCCUUUAUCAAGCCUAUAAUCAAGCAAUUCCUAAGAUUAAGCAACUAAUAAAUCUAUCUAUAUUUACUUCCUAUAACACUCUCUCUCAAGUUGAAGCAUAAAUAUUAAUCAUGUCUAACUUGUUACAUAUGUAAUUAACUUUAGUUCCAUUUAGAGUUUUAGUGAAUAUAUCCUCUAAUUGUUUCCCAGUUCUAACAUGUCAUGUUGAUAUUAUCAUUUGUUGGACCUUUUCACGAAUAAAAUGAUAGUUGAUCUCGAUAUGUUUGGUUCUCUCAUGAAAUGCUGGAUUAGAGGCAAUGUGGAUAGCUGCUUGGUUAUCACACUACAACUUAGCAGGCACCAAAUUGUGAAUCCAACAUCUUCUAAUAGUUGACGCACCCACAAUACUUAAAAUACGAUUUGUGCCAUGGCUCGAUAUUCAGAUUCAACACUAGAAUGGAAGACCCCAUUUUACUUUUUAUUACUCCAUGAGACUAGGUUACUUUCCAUGAAAACACAAUAUCUAAUGGUUGACCUCCUAUCAAUCUUUGAACUCACCUAAUCAACAUCAGAAAAACACUCAAUGUUUGAGUGCUCAUGGUUACCAUAAAAGAGGUCAUGUCUUGGAGCGCCUUUUAAGUAGCAAAGAAUCUGUCCCAAAAUGUCCCACUGAGCAACAGUAGGAGAAGACAUAAACUGACUCACCACACUCAUUGAAUAUGUAAUAUCAGGAUGAGUCACCGUGAAACAAUUCAGCUUGCCAACUAAUCUUUUAUACAUUUCAAGAUCUGCAAAUGGCUCAUUGUCUUCUGUAGUUGAAGAUUAAGAGUUAUUAGUGCAUUGCAAGGCUUAACACUCAAUUUUUCUAUUUUCGUCAACAAACCAAGAACAUAUUUUUUUUGAGAUAAGAAAAUAUCUUUUUUAUACUGUAUAACUUCGAUCCUUAAAAAAUAUUUCAAGGAGCUCAAAUCUUUUGUAUGAAACUAUAUUUUUAGAAAUUCUUUUACAGAUGUAAUGCCAACAAUAUCACUUCCUCCGAUAACAAUAUCAUCCAAUAUAUUACAAACAAAAUUACUCUACCAUCAGAAUUUCUAUAAAACAUCGAGUGGUUACACUUACUCAUUUACAUACCAAACGGUUGGACCACAUUACUAAAUCUACCAAACCAUAUUCGAGGACUCUUUUUCAAGCCAUAAAGGGAUUUUUGAAAUCUACAAACCUUGUUUGACUCCUGAGCAACAAAACUAUGUGGUUGCUCAACGUAAACUUCCUCCUUAAGGUCACCAUGGAGAAAAGUAUUUUUGAUAUCUAGUUGAUGCAAAGGCCAAUCAUGUGUAGUUGUCAAGGAAAUGAAUAAUUGAACAGAUGCCAGCUUGGCAACUGGAAAGAAGGUAUAAGAAUAAUCAACCCCAUAAUUUUGAGUAUAACCUUUAGUCAUUAAACGAGUCUUGAAACGAGCAAUAUAUCCAUCAAGGUUUACUUUCUCCUCAAAUACCCACUUACACUGAAUAGCCCACUUUUCUGGUGGCAAGGAUACUAACUCCCAAAUACCAUUAGUGUCCAGGGCCAUCAUUUCCUCUUCCAUCGUAGCAUGCCAAUUAGGAUGGGAUAAAGCAUUAGCAACAAUUUUGGGGACUGAAAUAGAAUAUAAAACAGUGGCAAAACAACAAGAAGAAGAGGAUAAUUGAUCAUAAAAAGAAAAGAUGAAAUAGAAUGAGUAUAAGUAUGUCUGCCUUUGCGAAUGACAAUGGGCAUAUCCAAGUCAAAUGGGGAUGGAUCGGUGGGGGCAAGGUUCAUCGACGAAGAAGAUGGUAGUGGAUUAGAGUCAGAGUCCUCUAGGCAUCUAGAAUAAACAUGAACAAUGGGAGGACUUGGAACACGAGCAAAAGGUGUAGGAAGAUUCUAUGGGUGAGACAAACGGAUGAUGGUAGAAAGAAUGAAGUGGACUAAAAAAAUAUUAUAUCAGCAGAUACAAAAUAUUAAUUAAGAUAAAAAAAACAAUGAUACACUUUUUGAGCCGAGAGUAGCUAAGAAAAAUAUAUUUAAGUGAUUUGAGAUCUAAUUUAGUAACUUGUGGACGAAUAUCAUGAACAAAACAAGUACACCUAAAGAUACUUAGUUCAACAGAAAAUAAAUAUUUAGUGGGAAAUAAAAUAUUAUAAGGGAUAUCACUAUGAAAAACGGAUGAAGGCAUGCAAUUAAUGAAAAAACAAGCAGUGGACACAAAAUUAGCCUUAAAAUAUUUAGGGAUUUUCAUUUGCAAUAAAAGAGUUCUGACUACUUCAAGAAAAUGUCAAUUUUUUCUUUUGGGAACUCAAUUCUAUGAAGGAGUGUCAACAUAGGAAGAUUGAUGAAGAGUCCUUUUUGUGAUAAAUAAGAUUGAAAUUUCUCAAAAAGAUAUUCUUUAUUAUUAUCACUUUGCAAUAUUCGAAUAGAAAGAUUGAAUUAAGUUUAAAUUUUAGCAUAGAAAAUACAAAAAAUAGAGAAUAAUUCUGAAUGAUUCUUAAUUAAAAAUAACCAAGUAGUGUGAGAGAAAUCAUUAAUAAAAAUAACAAAAUACUUAAAGGCAUAUUUAGACACAAUAGGACAAAGAUUUCAAACAUUUGAAUGUACUAAAUCAAAGGGAGACGAAACCCAUUUAUUAACUCGAGAUGUUGUAGGCAAAUGAUGAUAUUUGAAAAAUUGAUAUAACUCACAAUCUAAAACAAAUAAAGAUUGAAACUGUGGAUAUAACUUAUUCAAAGCAAAGAGAGAAGGAUACCCCAACCGAUAGUGAACAUCAAAAGGAGUUAAACUCGUGGAACAUACAAGAGAUGUAGGUAUUUUCUAAUCUAGGAUGUAAAUACACCUUAUGACUCACGUCCUCUACACUUCGUCGAAAGAUCCUGAAAUACGCAAUGAUCAGAAAAGAAUGAGACACAAUAAUUCAGUGCAUAAGUAAGCGCAUAAUUAAGCUUACUAAUGGAAAACAAAUUAAAGGAGAACUUAGGAAGGCAUAAUACAGAGAAUACAGAAAGAGGUGUUAGGUGGACAUGUCUAGAACCAUGAUAGAAGUUUUAGAGCCAUUAGCAAGAGUAAUAUAAGAAAAUGAUUUAUAAGGCUUAAGAUUGGAUAAAAGGAUAGAAUUACCUGACAUAUGAUCGGUAACAUUAGAAUCAAUAACCCAUUUUAAAGAUGAAGACACAAGGCAUGCAGUAGAGUUACCUGACUCAGUAAUUGCAGUGAUAUGAGAAUUAGAUGAUUUCAGAGAUGUUUGGUAUUGAGUGAAUUGUGCAUACUUAUCUGCAGAUAUCAAAAUAUCCUGAUUAGGAGAAGUCUCAACUGCCAUAUGCACCAUUGAUGAGCGUUGAUUCUUAUUUUGAAGUUUCAAGCAUGUCUACUUAGUUUACUCAGGUUCACAACAAUAAUAGCAAAUAAUUCCACCAGAGUCAUAAGUAAAAAUUGCUUCUCCGGGACACUAAGAUUCUCUACUACCAUUAAAACCUCCCAUGUUUCCACCUUCAUUGUUAUGUUUGCAAUUAUCAUUGCGGCUAACGAGGGCACUAAUUGUGUGUGAAGGAACUAGAGAAGAAGAUUUCAUACGCAACAACCUAGUGAAAGCAUCAUGAUGAAAUUUCAGAGUAAAAAAAAAAUCUGAGGUUCAGCUAUCUCAAAGUUUGGAGGGAGACUUGCAAGGAAGCUCAUGAAAACCAUUUGCUCCCGUUAAGCUUAUUGAGUUUACACAUUUGUACUAAAAGGCAUCAAAAUAUUAAAUUUCUCAUAAACUCUUUUAAAAUUCAUAAAAUAUGAGGUAAGAGUUCUAUUUUUUUUUUAGCUCGAUAAAACGCUUUACACACCUCAUAAAUGUGAGAAGUAGUCUGUUUGCCCGAGUAUAAAAGCUCCAAAUAAUCAAUUAAUUUUUUAAUAAAUUAACCGUAAUUAAUAAGGCUAAUUAACUCAUUAUGAAUGGAAUUUCAGAUCUGCAAAAAUAAUCGAGCAUCAUCCCUCAUUCCUCAUCCAAUCUUGCCUAGGGUCAUCAGUUGGAGGAUCCUUGGUAAGGUGAUCGUCAAUUUCGAUACUUUGUAAAUAAAUAUAGAUAGUCUUACUCCAAUCCAGAAAAUUAGACCUAUUUAAUUUGUGUUCUGUAAUUUUAGUCACCGUAAGAAUCAUAUCGGCUACAAUAUUUUUAUUUUCAGCCAUAGAAACAACUCACCCAAAUCAAAAGCAACAGAAGGCAUAGAAAAAAAAAAGAAACGUGAACAGUACCAGGAGUUAACAGUAUUCAAAAUGCGAUCUAACCCAAAACACCUCCACAAAACACCCAAACAGCAAACUGAUGUAGAAUUGAAGAUAGGACCUCGCGGUGACACCGACAAUGGUGACUAGAGCAAAGGUGGAUAAGUGAUGCACCUCCACGUGCCGACAAGUGGGACGACGUUAGAAACUAGUCGCGGUGCGUGAGACUCACUCGCCGUUUGAAAUGUUAUCGGUUUUCAGAGUAGCAUCGCCGACUUUCUAGCAUUCUUUCUGGGUAGACGGUUAGAGACAAAUGUCACCUUAUAGCGGUGACUUAAAAAAACAUAACAAAUGGAGUCUUAAAUCAUCAAAUAUAACAGAAGAAAAUUUUAAAUUUUUUGCCUGCAAGGCUGUAAUACCACAUGGAGAAAUGAGAGAUUACAACAUAUUUAUACAUAAAAAAAACCUAUCUAAAAAGAAAGAGAAUCCCUUUAUCAAACCUACAAUCAAACAAUUCUUAAAAUCAAGCGACUAACAAACCUAUUCAUAUUUAUUUCUAUAAUAUUAUUUAUUUUAAAUAUUUAGACAGAUUAAUUCAUAUAAUUUUAAUUAUAUAUAUUAUUUAGUCUAUAUAAUUUUAAAUACUCAUUAUUUAAUUUCUCUAACUAAUGUUAAAAUAAAUUGAUUAAUUAGUUUUUUUAAAAAAUAAACAUUUUAAAUUUAUACAAUACAGAAAUAUCUUAAUAAAAUAAUUUUAAAAUAAAGAUGAAUUAAUAAUUUUUUUAAAAAAAUUCAAAACCCUAAUAAUAUAUAAUCUCCCUAAAAAAGGGACCAGUUAGUCAUUCAAACAAUGCCCCUACUCCAUUUGAAUUUCAGUCCUUUAGCAUCCAUCUACAUAUCAUUAAACUAGGCUAUAAAUGCUCUUUAUACUCCAGAAUGAUGAGGCGAAAAUCCUUUUCAUUUGAGUUAUAAAAAAUGCAAUAAUAUAUCUAAUUUUAAUAAAAAAAAUCUGAUGUCAAUGAGAAUGAAAAAAGAUGACUACAAUUAUAAUUUAAAAUAUUUUUUAAAAUAAAUUAUUCAAAUUUAUUGUAAUCAAUUUUAAAUAUUUAAUUUAAAUUUUAUAGUUAUCACUAUGUCAAAAAGUACAAAUCAAACCGAUGAAUGAAAGCUUCUCAUCUUUUAGAGAUAAUUUUUAAUACCAUUUAUUAUAAUGAAAUUUAUAUAAAUAAAGCAAGUAAAUUCUGUAAAAAAAAAACUAUAAAUAAUUUGUUUUCAUAUCACAAAGCUGAACCAAUUCAUCCACCACUCCGUCAAUCUCUUCCUCUCCUUUCUUUCUAAGGACAUCACUCAUUUCUCUUGCUUUCCUCCUCACAUAUACACCUUCUCUCUCCACCACCACCUUCCUUAUUGUCUUUGCCAUCUCUUCUCUUUCAAGCUCUCCACUUUGAUUUCUACUCACCUCUAUGCCCACACCAGCCGCCUCUACUAUUCUUGAAUUUAUAGGCUGAUCAAGAUUCAUGGGCAUGGCUAUUAUUGGCACUCCAAGUUUCAUGCUCUCCAUUAUAGAACUCCAUCCACAGUGACUCACAAAUCCUCCAAUGCUUGAAUGGCCAAGUAUUUUUCUCUGUGGAGCCCAACCUUCAACAAUCUUUCCUCUCUCUUGAAUCCUCUCAAGAUAUCCCUCAGGCAGAGAUUCUUCCAGGUUUAUUUUCUCUCCUUUAGGAAACCUCACAACCCAAAUGAAGUUUACUUUGCUGAGCUCUAACCCAUGAGCUAUCUCUUCCAUCUCUUCCUUGGAAAGAAAAUAUUCACUGCCAAAUGAAACGAAAACUGUUGUUGAUCUUUCUUUCUUCUCCAACCAUUUAAUGACCUCAUCAUGAUGAUGAUGAUGAUGAUCCAUUGUUUUUUCAUCAUCUUCGUGGAUAGUGUCUUCAACGAGAGGACCAACAGGAACUAUCUUCUUGUUGCACUUAACAGAGACAUAAUCAAUGUAUUUUCCUUCGAGUUCUCUGAAAGUCUUCGCCAAUAUCACAUGAAAAGAUUGAUCAAUGCAUCGACCAGCUCUUUCUCCAUCCUUUAUCUGGUUGGAAGAAGAUUCGAAUACCCUGAAAAGCUUCAUUUCCAUAUAAUCUCUCGGAUAUAUCUCUGGAAAAAGGAAUUUUAUCUCCUUGUUUUUAUUCAGAUUCAGUCCAAAACAAGACAUGGCCAUGGAAGAACACAGGAAGUUCACAGCAGGUAUAUUUAGAGACGAAGCUAGAGCAGGUGCCCAUGGUUGAAGAAAAUCAUAAAUAAGCAAAUCUGGGUUUAGAGUCUUGAGAAUAUUGAAGAAGCUAGAGCUUGCCAUAUCAAAGGCUUUCUUCAGAGUUUUCAUGAGAUGGGGUGGCAGGCCAUUUGUGGUAUGGUAGUGAGAAGGCAGCUCCGGCGAUGAUGGAAGAUGGAGCUCCACAAAUUGGAUAGAAAAGUGGUACUCUGGAGAUAAUUUUGGCUUGAUGGAAUCAAGAUUUACAGGAGUGGAACAGAAGUAGACAUGGAAGUUUCUGUUGGCGAGCUUCUUGGAUAGCUCUAGGAAAGGAGAUAAGUGUCCAUGAGCUAACCAUGGAAACAUUAACACACUAAUUUUUCGUGUUUGUGCAGUCGCCAUGAAUGAUCUGCAUCUCCAUAUGCGUCCAUGAGUACUUUUAUAGAGCAGCAAUGGAAAUCAAAAGGAUAAUGAAGGAAACGAAAACGUGACAAAGGAGGGGAGUAUGAGGGAGUGAUUGGUGUCCUUUUGAAACUUGCGUGGAAGGUAGCGAGGGCUUCAUUUACGAAAUUUGACACUUGUUGAUCAACAAUCGAAGUUCCAUUUCGUUUUGACAUUGAAGACAGCUACUAGCUGUUCGCUAGUAAUUUGAUUUCGCAGGAAAUUCCAUUUUUGCCAACUUUGAGGCAGUGUUCAAAUUAAUCCCAAUUCAAAUAUUUGGCCGAAGUAGUCUAAACCUUUCUCUUUGAAGUCAAAUUUAUCCUCUUUUUUGAAAGAACUUAAAACAAUAUUUUUUAAAAAAAAAUAAUUAUUAAAAUAUUGAUUUUAUUUUUUUUAUUAUUUAAAAUUAGUUAAAUUUGAAUAAAAAUUAAAAAGAAAAGAAAUGGAAGAACAUGUAUUUCAAACUCAAAUACCAACAAUCUUUCAAGCACAAAUCAUACAAAAUAACUGAUAAAUGAUAAUUAACACCAAUUCAAACAAAUUUGUAGAAAUGAAAAAAAUUAAUUAAAUGGGCAUUACGAUCUGUUCAUUAAUUUGCCCAAGUCUCUGCUCUCUUGAAAUUUCCUAAAACUCUUUUCCACUUGUCAAAGUUGUUGCACUUACAUCUUGAUUUGGAUUGGCUACCAUUUGAGAUGGUAUUUUUCUUUGGGAUUCCAAUCUACUUGAGGAGGUAGCCAUUUGGCUCAUCUAAUUUUUCAAAUUUUAUAUAGAAUUAGCAAGUUACAAUAUCUUCAAGAGGCAUACCUUGCUUUCGAGGAGGUGAUUGUUGUGGGUAAUGGUGUUGAAAAUUCUGAAAAUUAUUGGACUUCACAUAGUUAAAGUUGGGAUGAUCCCUCCAUCAUAGAUUGUAUGUGUUGGAGUAAGGGUCAUACUUUCUUUGUUGUUGGUGCCCCUUAAAACUUCCUAUGACAUUGACAUGUUGUUGAUCCUCUUGGAGUGUGGGACACAUAUCUGUUGGAUGUCCAUAAAUUGCAUAAAUCCCACAUGCUCUUGCUUGUUGCUUAUUCCCUACAACAAGACUUUGCACCACAUGUGUUAUGUAGAAAUUUUGGAUUCAAGAGAAGACACAUUUACCUCAUUAACCUUUCUUAGUUGCUCCUUUUGGUCUCUAUAUUAUUUGGAAGUUUCAACCAUAAUAGAAAUCAACUCUCUAAUAGCUUAAGGUGUCUUAUCCGUAAUAGAUCCUCCACAUGUUGCAUCAAUGAUUCUUCUUUCUGAGGGUAGAAGACCUCCAUAGAAGUAUUGGAUAAGAGAUUGAUCGGAGAUGUCAUGUUGGAGGCAAUCAGAGAUGUCAUGUUAGGGGCAACUUGUGCACAAUCUUUUGAAUCUCUCCUAAUAUUCUUACAACAACUUAGAUUCUUUUUGCUUAAUCCCACUGAUUUCCCUUCUAUUUCCAAUGGCUUUGAAAGCUAGGAAAGAUUUUCCCAAGAAGGAUCUUACCAUAUCAGUCUAUAUAGUGAUAGAGCCAGAUGACAAAUAAAACAACCAAUCUUUUACGGCUUCCUUGAGUGAAAAAGGGAAUGCCUGUAGUUUGAUAUGGUCUUUGGAUAUCCUUUGUUCAUGCUUGAGCAAACUACAUGGAACUCCUUAAGGUGCUUGUGUGGGUCUUCAAUCUCAUGCCCUCAAAACUUGGGAAAUAAGUGAAUCAAACCUGAUUUCAGCUCAAAAGGUACUCCUAAGGUUAGAUAUGUAAUAAAAAGUGAUGCUUGAUUACCAAUGAGGGUUGCUAGUUUACGCAAGGUUCUUUCUUGUGCUAUGGGUGCUCUUUCUUUUAUGAUUUGAGCCUCUAAUUCAACUAUGAUAGCAGUUGGUUCAUAAGUGUUUGCUACUGCGUUUUCUGCCUCUUCAGGUGUUGCUGCAACUGCUUCUAUAUCAAUUGGUUUAGCUACUAUUCUAGAGGCUGUUUCUAAAGCUUUUUUUUUGCAGCAAUCUCCUAUUCUCGGGCUGAUUCUUUACGGGCUAUAGAAGGGAAUGCUAGUGAGGCUUGUUUCCUCAAGUUUUCUUAUUUUCACAAGUUUUUCGCGGUCCUUUCAAUUUUCAAAUCGUAAAGCAAAUUUUAUUCACUAAUAAACCUAGUCAUGAAAAGAAAUAAGCUAGUUUAAAUUAACUCCCUAGCAAUGGCGCCAAUUUUUGUUGGGUGUUGAAACCAUAAAAAAUAAUAUAUCCAAAUCUUACAAAUAUAAAUUGCGAAUAGGGUGAAUAGAAUCGAAUGGAUAAGGAAUUAACACUAAAAUCUCCAAUCAAUAAUUAGCAAAAUAAACAAGAAAGUAAAAAAGGGGGGUUCGAUCAAGAUUCAACUAAAGUGAAAAAUCAAGACAAUUGAAGAAAGUAAUAACCAAGAAAAAAUCAAAUAAAAGGCUCAAGAGAAAAUCAAUGCAAAUGAAUUCUAGUUGAAGAAUAGGAUUCGUUUCAGUUGUGAGAAUUGAUCAUUAAAGUAAAAAUAUCUUUAUUCAUUCCAAUACAUUACUUCUAGUUAUAAGAGAUACUCUUCACAAUCAAUAUCUCCUUAAGUGUAAAUUAAUUAUAAAAAUUAAUUAAGAAAUGUUUGCUAAUUAACCCUAAUCAAUAAACAACCCGAAGAAGGUCUUUUGUAUUUAAUUUAUCAACCACCUUAAGCAUUAGAGAGUUCUAACCAACAAACUAAAUCGCAUAGUGAGUUUAAUCUAAAUCAUGCAAUUCCUUAGUGGGUUACGCUAAUUGUUUACCUAUUAUUGAAUAAUUUAAGCAAUUAUAGACUCAAGCAUCUAAGGUAACAAUAUAUUACCUUGAAAAUAUAAACAACGAGCUCUAUUGAUCAAUUAACAAAAUAAUAAUCAUAGUAAGAACUAAAAUUAUAUAAAUAUUAAAAGAAUAAAGAUGAACAAUAAAAUUUAGAUCGUCAUUGAAGAAACUGAAACUUUAACCCAUCUCCAACUAAAACUAAAGAGAUUAGCCACACAUAGCUGUAAGAAAAACACAAAAAAAAAAAAAAAAGGAAUUCGGCCAAGAAGAGAGUGAUGUGUCGCUGCUGUCAAAAAGUGUGCUUAAAUAGCAAAACCCUAGAGAAAUCCUCUUGAAAUUUCUUUCUAAAAGAGUUUGAUUUGAGUAUUUUCAGUGAAAUAAUCUUUUUUAUUUAUUUUCUAGAGAGGACAUAAGUUUCUUGAUCUUUUGGAGAUGAAUCCUGUAAGAUUUGGGCUGAUUUGUGUGCUUUAAAUGGGAGAAUUCUAAUUUUUUUCACAUCAGAUAUGCUUAUGUUCCUGUUCAGAGGCUUGCCUAGAGAUUUGGACAAGUCUUUGGGCAAGUCUUCGGUCAAGUCUGUUCAGCUACUAUAAUCAUCUUAUUUUCUCUUUGAUUUUGACUCAUCUUUGUUAUCCUUUGUAUUUUUAAAUAAAAUCCAUAAAAUUUUCAAAAUAAACAAUAUUCAUAUCUCAUUUGACCAAAUAUUUAAUUAGAAUGUAUGUCGAAUAUGUGCAUCAUCAGGCAUGAGAAGUAAUGGGCAUAGAAGGAUUCACUGGCUAUCUUGGGAUAAAAUGUAUUUGGGGAAAGAAUAUGGUGGAAUGGGUUUUUUAAGUCUGUAUCACUUUAAUAUAACAAUGUUUGGUUGACAGGGUUAGAGAAUUAUUUUUUCUAGAUGCUUUUGUAUGUAGAAUCUUCAAAGCUAAAUAUUUUUCAAAGGGAAACUUUUUGAGUAAAGUAGAGGGAUUUAAUCCCAGUUUUAUAUGGAAAAGCCUAUUGCAAGCCCGGUCUUUACUACAUAAAGGAUUAAGAUGGAGAAUAGGAAAUGGUAAUGCUGUAAGAGUUUGGGACAAACUAUGGAUCAUUGAUGAUAGAUAUUUUUAUAUUGAAAUCCCUCAGAUUGAUGCUCUUCAAAAUUUUACAGUUUUGAGGUUGUUCAAGAUGGAUGUAGUUGGAAUCGAGAACUUCUUUUUGCACUUUUCCUUCCGAUUGAUGUGCAUCAUAUCAUUAAAAUUCCUUUAUGUGUGUCUAAUUAGGAAGAUAAACUUAUAUCGCAUUUUAUGAAGUCUGAAAAGUAUAGUGUCAAAUCUAGCUACCAUACUGCAGUUCAAACCAAUGACAUGAUAGCUCAAUACGCUAUUCCUGGGGAGUGGAAACAAAUAUGGAAACUUUUGAGAGGCAUUUUCCCUUCGAAGAUAAACUUAAGACACAUAUAAGUUGAUAUUGAUUGAUGUUGUCUUUAUUUCUCAGAGAAUACAAAACAUGUUUUUCUCAAUUGUCCUCAUGCUAAAAGAUGUUGGCAGAUAUUGGGCAUAAACCUCGAUUCACAUGCAAUUCACAAUACUAGAACCUCUUUCCAUAAUGUUUGGCAAUUCGCUACUCAGGAGCUCAAGGAGAAAGUUUGUGUAGUCGCUUGGAGUAUUUAGACUCGACAUUACUGAAUCCUUUGGAAUAAUACUGCCUCUAAUGCAGACGAUGUGGUAGAUUCAUGUCUUAAGGUUCUGAGUGAAUGGAUAAAUGUUUAGGAUAAGGAAUAUGAUAAAUCAACCUAACAGCAACACUCAAUCUACUGGUUGGAUCCCCCCUGUUAACCAAAAUUUGAAAUGUAAUAUGGAUGCUAAUGUGUCUAACUAGCAUGAUUGCUCUGCUUACGCUGCGGAUGUGAGAGACGCUAGUAGGAAUUUUCUUGUGAAAUUGACCGGUAUUUUGAGACUAUUCUUUCUGUCAGUCUUUUAGAAGCCUUAACUUUAUGAGAAGCCCUACUAUGAGCUCAAGAUAAUCAUAUAUCUAAUGUGUGCUUUGAGACUAAUGCUAAAGUUGUUGCAGAUGUUAUUCACUCCUUAACAGAUAAUUGAACCGAAUUUAGUAAAGGCAUUGCUCAAUGUAAGAAUUUGCUAUUUCAAGAGUCUGGUUAGACUUUAUUUUGGAUUCAAUGAUAAGAUAAUUUAGUUGCUCACUCAUUUAGUAGGGUGGCUAGAUUAUAUGCUAGUCCCACUGUUUGACAUGAGCCUUUAAACUCUUUGUAUUUAGUUUUAGAGUCUGACGUUCUCCAAGUUUUUUUCACUUAAUAUUUCAAGUCCUAGGUUAGGUUUGAUAAAGGAGUUUACUGGAUGGGAUUAUACUAGACUCGAUUCGGUUAAGUUUUUAAUGGAUACGUUAUAAAAAUUUAAUUUAAAAAAACAAUAACUUUUAAAAUUUUUUAAAUUAUAUUAUUUAAAUAAUUUCAUAAUUAUGAUUAAUAAAAUUAUUAUUAAAUAAAUAUUCAAUUUAUUGUGUGUACUAAAAUAUAUGAUACAACGCUAAACUUAUAUUUUUUAUAUGUACUUUAAAUUAAAUUAUUUACAUAAUUUCAUAAUUUAUGUCCAAUCCAUUAAAAUUUAAAACACAAAUUAUAUUUUUAUAAUUUUUAUUUUUAUAUUAAUAAUAUUUAUGAUAUAUAUUAACAAUAUGUUUCCCAAAUUUUCUUACUUUCUAUAACAAUUACAAUAUAUUUUUUUCAUUAUUUCUAUCCAUUAUAUUAAUUAUGAAUUAUUGAUAAUAAAUUACUAAAUUAUGAGUGAUUUAAACUUUUAUUUAACUUUUAUUUACUUAACCUGUUCAAUAUAUUUAUAUUAUUUAUUAACACACAAUAUAAUUAUAUAUAUAAUAUUUUAUAAAAAAAUGAAAACUCAAUAAUUUACAUAAUUUUAUCAUAUAAAAUUUAUAUUGUAUUACUAAUAAAUAUUGUAUUAAAAUUAUAAAAUAAACACACAUUAUAUAUUAAUUUUAUAUUAAAAAUAAUUAUUUAAAAUAAUUAUAUAUUUUAAUUAAAAUUAAUAAAUAAAAAUAAAGUUUGAAAUUAAUUAACCUGAAAAAGCUUUGUUUUUUACUAGAGAUGAGAGGCUUUAUAUCUGUGUAAGAGGUUGCCGGAAGGAGGGGUGGUUUAUACAAAAAUCAGCCAUAUAUAAUUUUGCCAGGUGGCAGGACAACAUUUAGAACCGCACCAGAUCAUAAAGACGUGGUAAUAUUUAAUAUUGUAUCUGUGUGAUACAGGUGUAAUUAUUAUUCAUUUAUAUUUUUAAUAAUUUAAAUUUACUUUUUUUUAUUUUACGGUGCCUCAAACUUGCAGGAGGUGUCAACGCAUUCCUUCUGCGAGAUGGACAACUUAGAUCGUGAAUCUGUGAUGAAACUCGAAAAAAGUAGUAGGAAGAGGAAAAGGGAAAGUGCCAAAGAAGAGAAGUGAAAGAAGAAAACAGUGUCAUAGAGCAAAACGGGAUUAGCGCUCUGCAAUCGGUCAGUUUGAAAUUAAAAAUUAGAUUGUAAAAAUAUUAAAAAUUAAAAAAAUUAAUUAUAAAAUUAUAAUUAAUCGAAUCGAAUCGAUAAAAAUCAAUUUGAUUUGGUUCGGUUAUUUCAAAUUAAAAUCUGUAAUUUUUUUAAAUUUUUUAUUUUUAAUUUCAAUAAAAUAAUUUAAUAAAUAUUUCACAUAAAUUUACCAAUAAAUAUUAUCUGAAUACAUAAUAAUAAUAUUUAAAAAAUUUAUAUAAAUAUAUAAAAUUUAAAAAUAUAUAUAAAAUUAAUGUUUUAUAUAAUAAAAAUAUAUAUAAAAUUUAUUAUUUGAUUUGUCGAUUAUUUAUCACGUUUAAAUUGAAUUGAACCGAAAACCAAAUAAAUUAGAAAAUACUAACCGAAUUUGAUUAAGUAUUCUGAUUAACUGAAUUAUUAAAUUGAAAUUGAUCGAUUCAAUUCGAUUUUUUGAUUCAAAUCGAUUUAUGCUCUUCCCUAACCAAGAUGCUAUGAUGUUAGUGGAAAAGUUAAAAUCCAUUUCUAUGAUGUUAGUGUAUAAGUUAAAAUCCAUUUUAAAAAACUCAUUUCAAGAGGAGAUGAUGAUGAUGGUAAUGAUGAUGAAUAAUGUAGACUUAAUAAAUAUAUAUUUAAAUAGUUAAAUAAUUAAAAUGUGAGUAAUAAAGGAAUAAAUUUUAAAAUUAAAAUAAAUUAAGUGGUUUACAAUUAAAAUAAAUUAAAUAAAUUUUAAAAAUCAAUUGUUAAUAUUAAAUUAAUAAAAAUUUAAAAUGGUUCUAGUAAUUUUUUCUUGUUUAUUUAUUAUAAAAAUCAAUUAAUGUGAAAAGAAAAAAAAUCAAACUUAUUUCAUUAAAAAUAAAAAUAUAUUACAAAAAUGACGACAAUAACGGUAAUUUUAAAUUUAAAAACUUAUAGCAUUUUAUUUUAAUAAAUUACUAUUUAAUUUAUUUUUUAAUUUUAAAAAAUACAUUAAAAUGUCAAAAAUAUUUUAAAAAAUUUAUUAAUUAAUCUUUUUAUUAUUUUUAAUUAUUAAAUAUUAUAAAAAAGUCUAAAAUAUCUAAAAAGAUUAAAAAAUAGAUUUUUUUAAAAUUUAAAAAAUUAAUUAAUAAGUUUUUUAAAAUUAUAAAGAUUAAAUAGUAAAAUAUUUAAUAGAUAAAAUUACCGGAAGAACGAAUUAAUAAAUUUUUUAAAAUAUAAAAAUAUUUUAAUAUAUUUUUUAAAAUUAAGAAAUUAAUUAGUGAAUUUUUUAUAUUAUAAAAAUUAAAUAAUAAUUUUUUAAAAACUAAUUUAAAAAAAUUUUAAAUAUUGAAAAUAUUAUUAAAAAAUGGGUGUAAGCUAAGUUUGCCAUAAAAGGUAGUUAGUUCAGAUAUCUCUUGUGAGAAUAACAUUGUGCAUAGAUAUCAUGAUGACAACAUUAAUAAAAAAAAAUUUUAAGUACUAUCUUUAUCUAAAUACUUACAAAAGAUAUCAAUCUACUUUAAUAAUACUCAUUUUUGAAAUUUAAUCUUGAUGUAUUUUUAUAUAUCAUUUUAUAUUUUAUUAAUAAACUCUAAAAUUAAUUUAAAUAAUGAAUUUAUCAUCUAGUUUAAAAGUAUUCUAAUUACAAAAACUAUAAUCUUAUAUUCCUUUUUAUAUAUCCUAUGGGAUUACUCUAAAAAUAAUUAAAAAUAAAAAUUAUAUGUUUUCCUUUUCCACCUUUAUUUUUAAAAAUAAAAAUAAAAAUUAUUAUCUAUUCUUUUAAAAAUAAAAAUUUAAAGUAAUUAUAGAUAACUAAAAAAAAGUUAUAUGUUUUCCUUUUCCAUCUUUUAUAUAUAUAUAUAUAUAUAUGAUUUCAAUUAUUUUUAUUUUAGAAUCUAUGAUUCAAUUUAUAUUAAAAUAGUACUUCUGUUAUGCUGAUAUUAAAUAGCGGUAAUUAUCUGAUAUUGUAAAAAAUGUACGGAAAUAAUAAAUAAAAUAUAUUUAUUAAUUAAAAAAAAUAUAUAAAAAUGCAAAAUGUAGUUUCACUCAUUUUCAUUUCAGAAUUUAUAAUUUAAUUUAAUGUUAAAUUAAUAUGUGAUUUUUAUAUCAACAUUUUUAACGACGUUUAAAAAUAAUUGCUAUUUAUUAAUGACACAAUAUUAUAAAUAUUAUUUCGACAUAAAUUAAAUCACAGACACGAAAAUGAAAAAUCGAUAAAAUUAUACUUUUUUAUAAUUUUUCCUAGUAGAUUUGUAUAGCGUUAAUUAGUUAAAAUCCAAAAUCUAAUCUUUAGAUUUUGAAAUCUUUUUAAUAUGCAAUAGAGCAUUGCUUUGCAUGUCUGCUGAAGCAGCACAAAAAACCACAUUAUAUUAAAGAAAUUAAAUCAUUUAGGAUAUAGACCCAGCAACUAAAAGGCAAUGUCUCUUUCAUCACAACUGUUUCAAUAAAAAAAAAAAAAAAACUAUGCCGAGCCUCUCCAGCUAAAGGCUUCUUUACAACACCAUAAGUAAUUAACCCUGUACUAUUUAUUGUAAUUAUGCCGAUAUUAAUCGGUGAAAACUAAUACUUUCAUAUAAUAUUACAAUUAAAUUUAACAAUUUCACCAUACAGCAAUAACGGCAACAAUAAGAUUAAUGAGGUAAUUAUGAUUAUAAAAAAAGAGUUAAUAAAUAUCAAUUAAAAUGCGCUGAAAGCUCGUGAUAAGAUCAUAUUUAACAGAAUAAAAAAUAUCUCUAUGUUUUUUUUCUUUCAUAUAUGUUGAAAAGUGAGAAUUAUAAAAGCCAUGACUAAAGAGACUUUCAAAUCUAGUCGGAACCUACUUCACAAUAUUUUCUAUAAAUGCAUGAAAUUGGGAAGCUACUGAGUUAGGUUGAUAACUACAAGAAGAACUACUAAAUCAAGCUGUCUGAGUAUGUUGACAUAAAAAAAAAAAAGGUAGUAUAAUCUAAUGUUUCAAGUUGAAGUUGAUGAAUAGAGCAAAUAAAAUUAUUUACGGCUAUAUGCUUUGAUAAAUUAAAUAAAAUCGAUAAAAUAUUACAAAUAAAAGAUAUAAUAUUAAAUCUCAUAUCAGUUUUGAUUAAAAAUUAUAUGCUCCUUAUAAGAAUUAUAAAUAUUCUCACCUUUGAAAUAGCUUUGAAGUGAAUUAGAUAUAAUCUAAAUUUAACAUGGUAUCAAAGCGAUAUUGAGUCUAGCAGUGAUAUUUCAUGAAGGUAUUUUGGAUUUCACGAUUUUGUAUAGUUUUUAUAUAAAAUUAAAUUUUUUUUCUUUUUAAAAGUAAUUCUUGUUUUUUUUUGAUAAAAUGUGCUUUUUUAUAAAAUAAAUUCAUUUUAUUUUUUUUAUUUUCUCAAAUUAUAUAUUACUUUUUAUAUAACAAUUUAUUAUAACUUAUUAUAAUUUUUUUAUUAAAUACAUACAAAAAUAAAAUUUUUAUUCUUUUAUAAAUAAUUUAGUAAUUUAAGUUUUUUAAAAAUUAAUAAUUUAAGUUAUUUAAUUUUAAAAGUAGCAAUAUGAGCAACUAGUAUAAAAAAGACUAAAAGGAAAUUUAUUAUUUAACAAUAUUAACAUAAUAUGUUUUAUCUAUUUUUAUUUUUAACAUCAUUUUAUUUUGACUUUUAAAUUAAAAUUGAGAUAAUGAAAUAUCUUUUUCAUAAAAUAUAAAAAAGUAAAAACAUUUUAUUUAGAAAACAUUUGAUUAAUUUGUUAUUUUCGUAAAAAAAAGGUUAAAGUUCUUAUUUUUUAAAGAAAAUAAUGCAGAUAAAUAAAAAAAAAUGCAAAAGAAUGAUAACGGAGUUUGUCAUAUUCUUCAAUGCGGUGGUUUAUUUCGUAAAUUGAAUGUGAGAAUAUAACAUAUCAGACAAAGAUGUCCCGGAGGAGUUGCAGAUGAUGGCCCAUGGUUGUACAAAUUGUCUCAAUCACUCUCAAAAGAGAAGGUUCUCUGCUCAUUCCCAACGGACCUUAAAAGAUCUUCCUUUUGCUCAUUAAUUAGUGAAAGUAAAAGUCCCCAUUUGUGUUCAAUUCAAUGAUACUCUUCUCUUCUCUCACGGAAUAAGGUAGGCCCCAAUUUAUCAUUCUCCUUUGUUUCUUUUCUUUUUUCAUUUCUUCUAUGAUCUUUAUGUGAAUCACACUCCUGGUUUUUGUUUAACUCUUUGUUUAAUGCUCUGAAAUCUCUAUGAUCUUAGAUUGCUUCUCUGCCUCCUCCUUGUUACAGGAGCCAAGUUUUCAAGUGGACCUUUAAGGGUUUCCUUUGGUUUUAGGUGUUAUCUUCCAGAAGUAUGAACCGUUCUGAUCAGGAAAUGCAAGAUCUGAGGUAAAAUCCAUCUGGGUAUCCCUCUUUUUGUUUGGUUUUUGUGUACUCAAGUUGAGUUUUGAAGGUUUUUAGUAGUAUUAUCAUUUGGGUCUAUUUGAUUUGCUUUUGUUCCUCGUUUUAGAACUUAUUUUUGUUCAUUUUGUAGUGUUUAGGACGGGAUUUUAUCGCCUACAUUUUUUUCCUCUGAACUUAUUUCUGUUUAGAACUGAGGACUUUAAUAUGAAUUGUACAUGGACAUUUACUGUUUUGCUUAGAAGGGAAUCUUAGAUUUAUUUGCUUACGUAUGAUUUGAUUGCUAAGAGAAGGAAAGAAGAAUAAAAGGUUGUUGCCUCAGAAUUAUAGAUAGUCAAUUUUGAGGCAAGUAACCCCAGCCUUAUUCUGAUACAUCAACAUGCUUAAUUGUAAUGAAUAUUUGCAAUUUUCAGAGUACAAUGAAAAUAACCACAUCUUUUCUUAUCUUCUCCUCCUGGCAACCAAAGUGAAUGCUCUUUGUACUUGUGUAAUCCAUCAUCAAUUACUUGGAGAUCAUCUCCCAAACUAUAGUUUGCAUUUUAUUGUUGUGAAAUUUAUUUGAGUGGAGUUUGUUAGGAAUUUUCCUUGUGCUUAUUGCUGGAAAUUGUCCUUGCAAGCUGGUGAAUUUAGUGGUUACAGCUCACUUAGUGAAUAUGUGUAGUUUCCUCAAUUUUUUUUUAAUAAUUAGAAUCUGCAUUCACCAACAAGGAUUCCUGAAAGCGUUUCUUGAUCCUAAUUACUGUGGAGCCAUGAAAGGAUGUUAUGCUCUUAGUUAUAUGUGGAAGUAACAUCUGAUGCAUGAAACUUAUGAAGGGUCCACUGAAAUAUUUGUUCUGGAAAUUAAUGAAGCCAUGAUCUUUGAAUGUUGCAGAUUGCAUAGAAUUUAAUGUGCAGGUUUCAGUUCAAACUGAAGGCAGAUUGAUAUUCACGAUUUCUUAUUGAUUUGUUGAUCAUUUUGUAGAACUGAUUCUGGCAUCGAGGAUUCUACUGCAAUGACUAUUGAAUUCCUUCGGGCUCGGCUGUUGUCUGAAAGGUCAGUAUCAAGAAGUGCAAGACAGAGAGCUGAUGAGCUAGCAAAAAGGGUAUGUUGUGAUAUGGAUUUUUCUAAUAGGGCAUUUAUCUUAUGUUUAAAUAAUAAGUCUCUGUAUCUUCUCUCCCCUUUAUUACUGUUAUAAUGUUAGUUAUGUAUCCCAAUUAGGUAGCAGAGCUGGAGGAACAACUAAGGAUUGUGUCUCUUCAAAGAAUGAAGGCUGAGAAGGCAACAGCAGAUGUUCUUGCUAUUCUGGAGGGUAAUGGGAUAAGUGACAUAUCUGAGACAUUUGAUUCAAGCUCUGAUCAGGAUACCCCUUCUGAAUCCAAAGUGGAUAAUAGUUCCUUUCAAGAAGAAGAGAAUUCUAUCAAUUCAAAAAUCAGAAACAAUGAGAAAGAAGAACUUUCAGGUUCUGAUAUUGAUUUUUCUCCAGUAACUAGUAGAAGCUUGUCUUGGAAAGGUCGCAAGGAUUGUCCUCGUGACCUUGAAAAAUUCAAGGAUAUAUCUACGAGAAGACGGAAUAAUUUUGGAUCUGUUGCUUCUUCUCCAAAACAUUGUCAAGGCAAGUCCUGCCGCCAAAUAAGGCGCAAGGAAUCUAGGUUUGUUCAUCUUACUUCAUCCACUUAAUGAAUUACUAAUGUAAUGUACAUUUCUUUGCUACUUUUCCAAAAAUUCUCAAGCAAAGAAAAGUGGUAAAUAUGAUAGAUUGCUGUUCCUUUAGUUUUAUCAUGAUACUGUAUGUUUUUGUCAGCAUGAAGAAGUUGUGUGACAAGUUGCACGAGCCUUAACCUGCCACUAUGGAGUUUUCUUUAUAUAUAUAUAUAUAUGGUAAAGUUUGUAUUUGAUACACUCUGAAAAGAAUUGUGUUUUAGAAAUUGUACUUCCCACCACUGGCCACCCAGAACCCUCAAUCAAAACAAUUAAUACACAGGAAAAAAGUGAAAGUGUAAUAAUUGUAAUCAAGUUUCAUGGAAGGAAAACUAAACCAAGACUUUUCUUUAUCUUGUGAAGCCUUAUUCUAAUAGAGACCUUAUGUAGAAUAUAUACUUAAGUGUGUUUAUUUUGCCAGAUCUAUAGCUGAGGAACAUAAAGCCAACUCUAUCAAGGUUGAUGCUAUUGAAGAUCAAGUUGCUACCACUUCAGAAAAUUUCCCAAGUUGCCCAGAUGUUAAGCCUGAGAUGCAUGGAGGUGUUGUUAAAAGGGGAGAAGAGAAAAUGUUAUUGGAGGACUCACUCUCAAGCUGCUUAGAAAAUGGACAAAACACAAAUGGCAAUGACAUUGAUUAUAAUGUGUAUGGUGGCGAUAGAGACAUGGAAAAGGCACUUGAACACCAGGCACAACUAAUUGGCCGAUAUGAAGAAAUGGAAAAGGCUCAAACUGAAUGGGAAGAGAAAUUCAGAGAAAAUAACAACAGUACACCGGUAUGGUUGAUGAAAUCUAUAUAACUUCAAAACCAUUAAAUUGUUCGCAAAUGAAAAGUUGACAGCAUUGUGGUAGUGCAUGGAUGAUAUAUAUAUCUAUAUAUAUAUAUAGAAAACAUAUUGUCUAGAGCUAGAUUUAAGUUUUCUUUUUUUUUUUUUCUUGACUAACAUACUGUGUGAUCAACUUUGAAAUGUUUCUUCACUAACUAAGAAUCACAUUACAGGAUAUUCACUUCUAAUAAAAUUAAAAAAAAGAAAUAUAUGUGCUUUAGAAAUGAAACAAUGGGAAUUCAUGGGAAGCCAUGGAGAUCCAUUUUCUUAAUUGCUUUUCCUUUUGUCAUAAUUAUUCCAUAUGCGACCUAAGAUUAGUGCCUGCAAUUUUUCAAUGCUUUUUGCUCAAGUUCAAACUAAAUGGAUAGAGGUUGCAUUUUAGUUUCUUACACUGUGUCUGGAUGUUCGAGUGAAUAUUUCUUUUCAGUGACUCGCAUAGGACAGUGUUUGAAGAAUGUCAUCUUGUAGUUUUGAAAUUAUCUUAAUUUGAUAUUUGCAAAAGACCAUCCACUCAUUUAUAAUGUAAUAAUAAUAAUCUGUCAGGGUUGCACAAAUGUAUGAUGUUGACUUUCUUGACAAUCUAAAUUUUCUGCAGCAUGUUCCUUGUCCCCUUCUCUUUCUCACUCUCUCCCCCACCAGACACAUGCACAAUACGUUCGCAUGCAUACACACAAAUUGCAUAGUUGUGCCUGUUUCUCAAUAAAAAUCUUUAUGAGAUAAUUAUAAAAUACCCUAGUUAUCAAAGGCAAAAAUAUCCUCCGAAUCUGAGAUUCUGGAGUAUUCAAAUGAUAGCAUCCAUUGUUCUAGGGCAGUAGGGCACUCAAUUUUAGUGAUGCAGAAACUUCAUCCUAAUUUUAUCUCUAGGAAAGGUAAAAAAUGUCCAUUUUAAAAUCCAGAAUUUGAAUCUAGCUUAUCUUGGUGAAUCUUAGAUAAACUAAACUUUAACAGGUACUGCUUCUAUUUUGGCUGACUUAUGCAUUCCAUAUUGUUUAGGUGUGGCUGAUGAGUUUAGAUAGUAUAUAUUAUGGAAAUGUGUAUCAUUGUUGUGAAAAUAUUAGCAGAAAUGGUAGAUUGCAUAAAGCUAGUAUGUUUUGGUUUAAACUUGGGAUGUGCAAUAACUGUGGGAUUUAUAGUAGGAUUCAUUAACUGAUUGAUUGUAAUUCCAUUCCUGUUGUACUUGUGGCAAUAUGUAAACCCCAAAGCCUGAGGGAAUAAUCAAGCCAGUCUUCCCUACAUUUGCCUUCAAUUCUCUCGCUUUCUUAAUUUUCUGAAACCGUUAUACUCCUAAAUCUUAAAAUUGAAGAAAAAGUGUUACUGUAUAAGUGAAGACUUCUUUUCUAGGGAUGUUGAAAGCCUUGGUGGUUUUCUUAUAUGUUGCAAUGGUUGUGGUGAUCUCUAGCUGGUAGCUGCCUUGUGUUCUUGGAGGAUAAGUAAGCAAAAAAGUGUAAAUAAUAUAUGUGGACUCUCAUUCUCUAAUUCUUAGGAAAAACUGAAAAUAAGUUUUGGCUUGCAAAUUUAAAUCUAAUCAAUGAUAUUGUGUGCGGAGAAGGUUUCAUUGCAAAAUGCCAAUAAAAAAUGUUGUCAAAGAUUUUUCUAAGGGUUGAUUUUUAGAAUUGGUCUUGAAUUGUAAUUUAUUGUGGAUUAAUUCCCUAGAUUAACCAUAUGCAGAAAUAUACUAUUCAAAUCAUUUGGAAGUUCAGCUUUUCAUCAGCUUGUACUUGUCCAAAGUCCCAUCUUUAAUAUAUUAACAUUUUAGGGGCCCUUCUCCUCAGAAGAACUGAAGUCACAGGUGGGCUUGUCGGGGUCAUGGUGUGCAAAUAUAAAUGAGAGCAAAGCAUAUUGUAUAAUACAGUAUUAGGCAGAGUAACAGAAAAAUAAUAAAAAUUGGCAAUAAAUUUAAACUGUAAGAGUAAUGACGUUUGAAUCUACCUUGUCAUAAAGGAAGAUAGUGCCAAAAAACAUGCAGGAAUUAAAAGAUUAUCUUUGUUUUUGUUAGUAGAACUUUGUGCGGAAUAGAGCAUCAUGGCGUAGGUGACUGGAGCUAUCUCCUUUGUGGCAUCCAAGGUUGUUGAGUAUCGUAAAUGGCUUAAGAGUGUUGUGGUUUAAGUAUAUGGUUUUUGGGUCCUCAUUCAGGCAAUCCAAAAAUAUUUGCCUUAUGAGAUACUAUUGGAAAGUUCUUGUCAUGUAUUAUUUUAAUUGUGGAGUUCAUUGGGAAAUAGUUUAGGCCCUAAAUAGUGAGCUGAAAAUGAAGUAGUAUGAAAAGAAGGAUGUGUCUGUGAAUGGUAUGGAUUCAGGAAAGGAACUGAAGGAUAGUAGCAAGAGCCCAGGAGUUAUGGAUUUAAGCCUAAGACCAUUACAAGUAUGUUGGAGAAAGAAGAAAAGAGUAGCAGAGGAAUUUGGAUGGAAGAUUUUAGAAGCAUGCGUUGGGGGAGUUUGGUUUGUUAGAAGGAAUCAAGGGGGGAAUGCCACCUGGAGAUGCUAAAAGAAUAAGGGAAUCCAAAGCCAUUUUAUUUAGUGGCUAAUUCAGCAGCUAAGAAAAGAGUUUUAUUCUAUGUUUUGACUGUAAGCUAGGUAGGCCAUUGGCUAGUUCAGGAGGAGGUCUCCUGGUUUUUGAUAGAAAGAAGGGGAUUAUUAGCAUUUUUUUUCCAUAACACUAAGCUCUGUAUUAACUUGAGAAGGCAUAUUUUGCCGUUAUUUCAUUAGAAGUUCCAUUCAAUUUUCUAUCAAAUUAAUCUGUGUUCCUAGUUCUAUUAAUUUUUUCGACCGUCGGAUCCCAAAAUCAGAGUGGAAAGAAGAAUGUAUUGGAGAAGAUAGAAAAAUAGCAAAUACAGAAGCAUUAUAAUCUCUUAGAGUUGAACAUGAUCAGCAUUUCAAUAAAUUGGAAUGUGUUACAUCCAUGGUUCAUGGGAAAAGCAGUUGUUGAGGAAGGAGUGGCUAAAGAGUCUACGACCAACUGAGAAUGAGAAGAUGUCAUUGUUACAUCCAGCGGUUGGGCCCAUGUUGCUGGCUGAGAUUCCAUUGCAACAAAGAAAAUUUAGAUGCGUAAUUUCUGUGCUGUAAAUCCAGAGAGCUGGAUUGUUCAUGUGAAGCAAUAUUCAAAUUCUAUGGUGCCCAAAAUUAAAUGAGGAAUUAUUUGGCAUUGAUUAGAAUGGAGGGAGCCCCCUGUUAUGACUAAGGGGAGUGUAGGUAGUGAGUAUACUAGAGUAAGGGUAGAGUGGGUAGUGAGCAUAACAGUUAGUUAUUAUGAUGUAUAAAUAGCACUAAUAGAUUCUAACUGACCCAUCAAUAUUGAAUAUACAAAUAUUAUUUUCUCUCUCCAAUAUUAUCUCUCUCUCUUUCCCUCUUCCCUUUCUUGAUCUUCUCUGCCUCUUUCUUCCCUCUGCUUCUCUUCUUGCUGUCUCUCUUUCCCCUCUUUCUUCUACAGAGCCUGGUUCUCACAUAACAGAUGGUAUCAGAGCUUGAUUCCCAUUGUGCACUUUGCUUGCGAAUGGUUGUUCUGUGUUGCACCAAUGACUAGAUCAGUAGUAGUGACCCCAGAGUCUUGUUCUCUAGUGGGAUUGCUUCCUUAUAUGUCUGGGAGUCCCAAUCAAGGAUGAUUAGUGGAAGCCUUCCCAAAGUUCCAGGUUCCUCUCUGUUUUCCCCUUCUCUCUUCUUUCCUUCUAUUUCUUCUUCUUCUUCCUUUCUUUCUCUUCUGUUUUUUUCUUUUCUGAUUUGACAACAAUUCUUCUUCCCUUCUCUAUUUCUUCUCUCUCCUUCCAUUCCUUUCCUUUUGUAUCAGGUUCUACCGUCUAUUCUUCUUUUUCCUUCUAUUCUCUUUCUUCCUAUUCUUUCCUAUCUUCCUUGUCCUGUAUUUCUGGUUACUGUUACCUGAAAAUCCAGAUUAUUAUAAUUUUACCUGACCUUUGGUAACAGAUCUGUUAAGAGUUCUUCCAAAUUCAGAUAUGUACACGGUUUUCACACUAAUCUUCUGUUUUGGGACUCUUAACUCUCUUUUACUUUUCAAUUUCAGAUUACUAUUCUUAGUUUUGUAUUUUCUCAACUAAUAUCUCCUCCAGGUCGAUUUUCUAGUUUUUUACUUUUAUUUCUCUGUUUUGGGUUGUAUUGCUGUUUUCUUUUACCAUCUGGUUAUGGAAGAGCAAACCUGGAAACAAAAACUUUUGUUUCUAGAACAGAGCAUAUGUGAGAUUAUUGAGAGGAUUUAAAAGAAAUGAGGAGUUGCUGGAUCAAACAUUUGAGAAAUUGAUGCAGGGGAAAAUGGGAAAAUUGGAAGAAUCAGUUCAAGGUUAAAUGAAAAAUGUAACAAUAGAUGUUAUAACAUCCAAAAAAUAUAAAGGAGCUAUUUUUUUAAAUUAAAAUAUAUAAACUAUAGUUGGCGAUACAUUAUAUGUAUAUAUACAUGUAUAUUCAAAAUAUAUUAAAACAAAAUUGGCUUUGUCACCUUAGGGCAUUGGCUUGCCUCUCACCUCUUGCCUAACUGUUGCCUAUUGCCUUGAUAACGCUUCUAAUUAUAGAAUUGAUAUGAAAUGCAACUUAUAGGUCUUAAUUCAGCUGCCUAUCAACUAUCGGUUAAUAUUUUAAAAGUUUAAUAAACACAUUGGUUUAGCUAUUGGGAUGACUAUAGCUAUCAAUUGCAUCCAACAAUUAAACUAAAUAUUCCUAAAGUUUUUGUUUAAGAGGAGACUCUUCCUUGUCCAAACUGCAUAAUCGGGAGUCUAACAAAGAUACUUGUGGAGAAUUCAUGGGAAUAAUUACCGGUUCUCAUCUGCAAAGGGCAGGCCAUAGAGUGAAAGGGAGGAAUUCGACUUUUUUGGUUCAAUGGAAGGCUCAAUCUACAGUUGAUGCAAUUUGGAUGGAUACAAUUGAUAUUCAUGAACAGUUUUCAUGUUUCAGGCUUGAGGGCAAGGCUGGUUUUAAAGCAGCUGGCAAUGUUAUGAAUUUAGGACAGGAGCUGAAGGACUGCAGCAGCAGCAGCAGCCAAAGGAGUUGUGCAUAAGACCAUUAAAAGUAUACUGCAGAAAGAACAAAAGGGGAGCAGCACAAUUUGGACGGAAGUAUUUUAGAAGCAUGCAGCUGGAGGACUUGGGCUUUUUAUGGAUAAAGGAGGGAGUACCAUAUGGAGAUGCUUAUAGAAAGGGGAUCCAAAUUCGUUACAUUCAGGCUAGUUCAGAAGCUAAGGAGAGUUUUAUUUUGGUUGUAAGCUGGGGCUAUGCCAUUGGCUAGUUGGGGGGAGGUCUCCUGGUUUGUCAUCUAUUGUCUCCUUCCUUUUCUUGUUGUUGUUGUUUGGUUCUAAUAGAAAGAAAGGGAGUAUUAGCAUGUUUGUUAUGUAACGUUGAGCCCUAAAUUAACUUGAGAAGGCAUAUUUUGCCAAUAAUUUCCAUUGAAGUUCUGUUGCAUUUUUUUCUCAAAUUAAUCUCCAUGUUCCUGACUCUAUUAGUCAAUGAUUAAUAGUCAGAUAGGAACUAUCUAAAUUUUAUAAUAUAGAGUGUUGGUGCACUUUCCAUAGUUUUCUUGCAUAUUCGAGGGAAGCUAGAGUCGACACAACUCAGUCUGCUAGGAGCAAUAGAAAUACAAAAGUGAGGUGCCAGGGUUCAUUUCAUAGGUUUCUUGGAGGUGCAACAGGAUAUUACCAUUCAUAGCCUGAUCGGAACCAAGAAUAAUUGUGAUGCAGCACUGGAAGGAGACUCAGUUUGGAUACUUGGAAGUAUAUUUAUCAUAAAAUUGGGAAGUUUAUACUUUUAGAUUUAGAAUUCUAUUAGGUUUAAAAUUUAUUAUUUAAUAAUUGUAUAACUAUGCAAUUUCCUAGUUAAGAUUGGAUUUUUAUUUCUAAUUUGUUUUGUUUAGGUUUCCUCCUCCUUAUUCUUCUUCUUCUUCUUUUGCCAGUCUAUAAAUAACUAUGCAAUUUAGGUAUUUUUCUUAAGAGAUUUUAUUUUGAUUAUUGACUAUAGACAUUUGGCAAAUACAUUGAGAAUUCAUUUCUCUUCAAUUGAGAAUUGGUUUAGCGUCCAAAAUCCCCUAAUAUCUAUUGGUUCUACAUCAAAGUGUGUGAGAUAUGUGCAUAAUCUGAUAAGGACUAGCAACUAAUAAUUUGGAUGGAUUGCAAUCCUUAAUCCAAUAGGGAUCCUAGAAACAAAAGUUUGGGGAUGUCCAAUUAGUGAAAUAUAGGAUAUGUAGGGGUAGACUUAAUUGGUAUGCUAAUUGGAUUAGUGUUACGUUUAGUUGGUACACCAAUUUAAUUUGGGGCAUGUAAAUGUAUUUAUUCAAUAUAAUAUAAUGUUUAAAUAAUUAAAUAUACUACUAAUGAGUAAUAGUUAAUAAUAUUUAUAUUUUCUAAAAAAUUUAAAUUUUAUCUAAUAAAUUAGUUAUUUACACCUCCAAGUUAACGUUGCCACAUCUUCCACUAACAUUUAAAUCCACCACCUCUCUUAAAGUUUUUCAAAAUUCAUUCUCUUCCUUUUAUUCUUCUUUUGCUAUAGCCUUUCUCCUCGGCUCCUCUUCUUAUGCUUGCAUAUUAUUGCACACAUGCAUAUUUGUUGGUUUUUCUUUUUUUCUUCCUUCCUUCCAUCUUUUCAUUUCUCUCUAGAACCUCUAUUUUGGCGAUUCCAAUUGUUUCCUCCAGCAACUUGAGAUGCAAAAGUAUGGCAUUUUAGUAUAUAGUACCUGGAACACAGUUCCGAAGGGGGGGUAAGUCUGGUGACUAUGCUGCAAACUAUAGGAAUAAACUGGAGCAUGGUUAUCAGAAGUAGAAGAAAGGCCCCUUGAGCUAGUUUAUUGAUAAAAAGUGCUAUGUAAGUGCACAAGUAUUGAAUUAUGCUAAAAAAAUUUGCUGUGACAAAAUCAAAUGUUGAUAAUUAUCUUUUGUUCAGUAUCUUGCCAUUAGUUGCAAACAUUACUUAAAACUCUGUUAAAGCUUGACCUUUAUUACGUUGGGAUCAUUUUGUUUUUAUUUUAUAUUUUAUAAUUUGUACUUUUUGUUGAAAAAUGAGUUUAAAUAAAAAUAUUCCAUUAUGAAUUGUUGAUCUAAAUUAGGCUUUGAGGACUCUUUUUAAAUCUUUUAUUCAAGUGAAUGAGAAACAUUAACUCACCUUAGCAUAUGACCAAUGGAAAAGAUGCUGAAGGUCUGAAGGUAGCAAAAAAGUUGAUUAAAAUAUGUUUCAAAAUCUUAAGGGUAUUUGCAUGAACUGGUGGUGUCGAUUAAAGUAGCUGUUGGUGUGUGCUCGCGUGCAUAUGAUCAGCUAGCAUGCACAACAGUAAGAACUAAGAAGGAUCAAGAAGAGUGCCCCAGUUUUUGUGACUGGAACUCAUUGUUUGUCAAUGGAUGCCUUUUUAAAAUUGCCUUGUCUAUUAUCUGGACCAAAUUGCAUAUGAGAUACUUACCUAUGAAUGAGGCACUAGGGUAUAUCUGAAUUCUGGGUACAUAAACUGUACUCGUGUACAUUGGCAUAAUACUCACUUUAAAUACCUUUUAUCUUGGGAUUAUAUAAAUGAAGCAUAUUCAUAAUUUUCUUCAUGAUAUUGCUCUCACUUCUACACUCUGCUUUCACUGAUUCUUGUUAUUAAGCAGUUUUUAGUUGUCUGGAUUUGUUCUUUAUAUCCUUUCUCAUAUGUGACCUUUUUUAUGAUUAUGCAGGAUUCAUGUGAUCCUGGGAACCACUCAGAUAUCACUGAGGAAAGAGAUGAGAUCAAGGGACCAGCUACACAUUCCGCUGCAACAAUUGCCUCCCAAACACAUGAGUUGAGAUCAGAUGUUGAAGAUUUCAACAAAAUUCAGCCUAGUGGUUUUCUACCAUCUUCACAUGUUGAUGCGGCAAGCUUGGAGGAGAGAGAAAGAGAAAGCAGUAGCACGCAUGUUUCCAAAUCUUCAACUCAAGACUUUGCUUUCCCCUUGGUCAUGGAAAAGCAAAAUCAAGAUAGCCAUGAAAACAACUGCCAUCCACCAUCACAUAUCCCCCGCCAUGAUUCAGUUUCACAUGGUUCAUAUGAUUCUCCUGGGAGCCAAUACGUGCCGAGCUUUUCAUCAACUACAAGUAGUCACCUCAGUAAAGUAAAAGGAAGCGAAAAUGAACUUUACGCAUUGGUGCCACAGAAAACAUCUGAUGUGGUGGGUGGGGUGCUGGAGGCACUUAAAGCAGCAAAGCAAUCACUGCAGCAGAGAGUGCCAUUAGUAUCUGUAUCUGUUGGAAAAUCUGCUGAACCUUCUCUACCUGCAACAAUGCUUAGGGAUAAAGGACAGAUUCCUGUUGGAUGCGCUGGACUGUUCAGAAUACCAACUGAUUUUUUGGUCGAAGACAAAGCUCGAGCAAACUUCAUUAGUCCGAGUUCUCGAUUAAGUUUGGGAAACUAUUAUCCCAAUACAGGAGUUCCAGCCGCUGCCAGCAAUUUGCUUGUCUCGACCCCUUACUUGGAGAGCAAGUCAAGCUUGUCUACACAGGAUCAAUUUCUUAGCAGUCAAUACAUAGGCAGUGGAUCAAGUAUCCCAACUCAGAAGCCUUAUUUUGAUCCUUAUCUGGAUACAGGUGUACCUUCUUCGAGUAGAUACGCCUAUCCCAGUUACCCGAUCAAUGCAUCAUAUCCGGAUCUGAUGCCACGGAUCCCUAGUAGAGAAGCACUGUCUGCAUCGCUUCCAGGUAGAACUGUCAGGAUGCCUAACACAAAUCACUUCUCAUUCAUUGAUGAUAAUAUUAGACCAAACACAUAUAGAUAGUAGCUUGCCAUUGGAAUUCUGUAGGGUUAUGAAAUUUUAGUGCCAAGGUUCCAGGAUAGUGAUUUUGCAGUGUAACUAUUUGUAUUAUUUUGUGGGAUGUAUUAUCUUUUGUGAUAUAGGAUGUCUGAAGAGAUGAGAUUGUGCUUCUAGUUCUUAUUCAUGCUUAUAUUUCCUUUCAAUACAAUCAUAAAUUGCACUAUGCAGUAGAAAAAUUCUUAUCUUCACAAAGUUGUCCAAUAGAAAGUCGUCAAUAUAUAUAUAUAUUUUUUAAAAUGGGAUAUUGGAGAUUGGGAGAGUAGAAUCUGAGAUCUUUCAAGAUUUAUUUGGAAUCUUAGAUGCAUUUAGCACUAGAAUCUGAGAUCUUUCAAGAUUUAUUUGGAAUCUUAGAUGCAUUUAGCACUAGGUAUUUAUCACAGAGCUAAGUCUGUGAAUGCGUUGCCAAUAUAUUUUUAUAAGUGGAUUUUCAUUUUAGCGUAUAUAAUAUUUUUAAGGGAAAAUUAUUUUUUAGUCUUUGAGGUAUAGCGUAAUUAACAUAUUCGUCCCUCUAUUUUUAGAAUUCAACGCUUUCGUUCCUGAGGUUUAAUUCCGUCAAAAUUAGAGGUUCCUCCGUAAAAAAUGUCGUUAGUGAUAGGAAAAAUAUCGAAUUACACUUUCUAGAACUUAAUACUUUAAUCUCUGAAAUUUAAUUCCUAUAAAUUUAUAGGUUCCUCUCUCAAAGAAUUGAAGGAAAAAAAUACAUUUUUGUCCCUAAGAUAUUACAUAAUUAGCAUAUUUGUUCCUCUAUUUUUUUGAAUUCAACAUUUUAGUUCCUAAAGUUUAAUUUCGUCAAAAUUCAAGGAAGAAAAUUUCAAACUCAAUCUCCAUAAACAAAUAAAAAUUUUAAUAAAUUUAAGAUUCAAAUUCAGAAAAAAUAAUAAAAAUCAAAAUAUAUAAAAUUUAAAUUAUUAAAAAUAAAAAGUUAAAACUCAAUAUAAAUAUUUUUUAUGAUGCUGCUCGCCAUUUUAAAAAUUCAUUAAAAUGUCUGAUAUUUUAAAAAAUUUACUAAUUAGUCUUUCCGUUAAUUUUAGUCGUUAAGUAUUAUAAAAAAAAUCUAAAAUUUUCAUGAUAUGGAGUGACUAAUUAGUAAAUUUUUUAAUAAUUUGAGGGACUAAUUAAUUUUUUUUCUAAACAAUAGAGACUAAAUAGUAAAAUAUUUAGUGAUAAAAUUAAUAGAGGAACUAACUAGUAGACUUUUUAAAAUGUUAGGGAUAUUUUAAUAUAUUUUUCAAAAUUGAGGGACUAAGUAGCGAGUUUUUUCAUACUAUAGGAAUUAAAUAAUAUUUUUUUUAUUUUAUUAUUGAUAAGGAUAUUUUUGGGAUUAUAUUUAUUCUGUUUCCUUUGACCAGCUGAAAAUCAUUGACUUAACAGAAAUUUUUAAUGGAGGGAUCUUGAAUUUUGACGGAAUUAAAUAUCAGGGAUGAAAGUAUUGGAUUCUAAAAAUAGAGAGACGAAUCCGUUAAUUACGCUAUACCUCAUAGACUAAAAAGUAAUUUUUUCUAUUUUUAAAAUAAAUGGGUGUACGCAUCCGGAUUUGAGGAGACUCAGACCCAUUUGCAGUGAUGUGGGUAUUGUUUUUCCUGGAUUCAAAAGGAUUGUGAUUUAUUGGUUUACAUGAAAAGGUUUUAGCUUUCUCCAUAUUUUUGGAUAUGUUAUCUUAUGACUUAUGAUAUAACGGUUGAACCUUAACUAUCUGAUACCUUUGUUAGAAUUUUGGAAAAUUACUAAUACAUCCUUGAGUUUUUAAGAAAUUGGAUAGUUUAUUUUUGGAGUUAAUAGUUAAAAAAAAUGUACUUUUGAUAUUAUUACAAUUAUACUUUGUACUUUUUUUGUCAAUUAAAAUAUGACAUUCUAAAUUAUUUUAAUUUUAUUUUGGUGUUAAAAAUUAAUAAAAUUAACGGUCGGUCAUUGUCAUAUCAAUAUCAAUAUCACGUCAGUAAAUUUCAAAACAAAAAAUUAAAAUUUUUUUUUUAUUAUAAAUAUAUAGAUAGAUUACAUUAAAUAAUAAUAAAAUAAGUUAGUGUAUUCUGAAGGUAUACAAGGACACUCAUCCCUAUUUUAGAUUUCAGAUAAAUUUUUAAGUAAUUAAAAAAAAUAAUUUAUGAUACCUAAAUUAAAAGAUGAUGAUAGCAAAAUUCUCAAAAAGUUAGAAUUUUUAUCCCCAAUAGCUCUAUAGUAAUGAGCAAUUUUAAUAUGGAUAAUAUCUGCUUUUCUACAUCUUUGCCUCCUCUCAAUUGAAGAGAAAUAUUCGUUAUAUAAAAUAAAGAUAUUUUUUUUCUGUAUUUUUCCAUCCAUUUCUUAUUAUUCAAAUAAAGAAAAUAUGAAAAAUGACAUUUCUCACUCUUUUUAUUUUCAAUUUCUCUCAAAAUAAAUAAAGUAAAUGAUUUAAUAAUAAUGAUCGCUCAAAAUAUAUUAUAAACUGUACUUGUAAGGUAAAAUCAUGUGGUAAGAGUCCGAUAAGAUUCACCCGUGAAAAGAAAGAUUCAAAUAUAUAAACUAACAGAUUUCAUUAUAUUUAUAAUUAUGGAAUUUCUGAUCAAUUAGCUAAUAAAAUUUUUAAUUAAUUAGCUGAAUUUUUAAAAAAUAUUAUAAUUAACUCUAAUUUUUUAUUGUGUAAAAUUUAAUAAUUACAGAGAUAAAUAUACAUAAUUAUUUUUAAAUUUUAAAUAAUUUUUUACAUUCAUUUUAUUUUUUAAUAUACUAGUAACUUGAACGAGAUUAGCCAUUAUAUAUGCUAAUUAUUUUUUUUUUAUAUAAAUUGACUAAUCACCGUAUAAUUUUAUUUCGAUUAAAUGGAUGAGUCAUAAUAUAUUACCGAUAAACACAAAAAAAAAGUGAGAUUUUAAUCGUUCAAACUCUGUUUUUAUUUUCAAUAAAUAAAAUAAAUAAAUAAAUUAGUAAAUAAAUAAUAAAAGACGCGGAAGCGAAGCUUCGCUUAUUAUUAGACGCGUCCAUGGAAUUUCCCUCGCUUGAAAUGUCUUUUGCUUGCAGGGACCAAUUCUUCAAGAAAAAGAGAAAUGCUACGGUAACAGUGAGUCAUCAUUACAAGUUAUCUGGAAUGCAAAUUAACGGUUUACUAUUUUUAUAUAAUUAAUAAAAUUCUUCAAAUAUAUUUUCGCCUUUUUAUUUUAAAAAUUAUAAAUUUUAGCUGCUAACUCAAAAAAAAAAAAAAACUACUAAAAGAAUUAUCAAUUUUAGAUAUUGCAAAUGAAAAGUAUAGAUCUUGAAAUACUAAAUUAUUUUAUAACAUGAGAAGUAAAGAGAAUAAUACAACUUAUAAUUAACUUUUUCUUUUUUUUUUUAAGAAAAAUUAAUCUAUUUUUCAAUUUUUAAAACAGCAGUCAAGAAAUUGCCUGUGAAAAAUGAAUUUCUUGUUGCAUGUGAUCCAAAUUGGCACUCUAGAAAAAUAAUAUAAUAAUGAGUCAGCAUUCAGCAAAGCGCAAGCAACUGGAUCGAAAUUGCCAAAUCUUGCAGCCUUUAAGUUCCACAACUGUUAAUUCUCAAUUCUCGAACAAUUUGCAGAUCCUACCCAUCAAGAAACCAAAAACCAUGUCCAAUAGUAAUCUUCAACCCUCCCGCCGGCCGCCGGAGCUGCUUCACCUGCCGGAAGGGUACCCAAGGAUAGGCUAUGACGAUGACGCAUUUUCACUUGUGGGAAGUGGAGAAGGCAUGGUGGAGAAGGGGAAGUCAUCGGCCGAUUCAAGGUUGCUAAUGCUGCUGGAAUUUUUCAGACAACUCUAUAUCAGGAGAAGUGAAGUGUUUAAGAAAAUAUUUGAAGAGUCGCAUGAUGAAUUCGUAGAAAUGUUCAAGGAAGUUGGUGCAAAGUUGUCCAGGCAUGGAAGAUCAAGAAGGAACGAGACUACUGCAACUUUGAAAAGAAGCUUGAGUGUUGGGUCACAACGGAUUCGUUCUAUUGAUGGAGAUGAUCAAUUUCCUUUGAGACUCGAGAGGUUCAAGGUUCGGACGGUGGUUCCUGGCGGUGGCGGUGCCGGUUCUGGUGCCCAAGGGGACAAGGGUGACAAGUCUGGAACCAAAUCCAAAUAAAGGGAAAAAAGAGUUCUUUGCUUCUUUAGAUUUAAAUAAGUUAUUACAAAUAUGAUGUUGUAUGGAGAUUUUAGAUAUGACAAACAUAAAACAUUGGCUAUACCAUAUUGUGGUUAUAAUUUAGUAUUUGUUUAUUUUAUGGUAAGGAACAAUUUAAGUUCAUGUUUCCUUAUGAAAUUAAGGGAUGAUUGUAAGAAAAAAAAAUAAACAAAUUGCAUUUUUUUAACUUUUUGUAAUUUUUAACUAAUUUAAGAUCGCAAUGCAAAUGCAAAAUAAAGGCCCAAUUAGUACAUAGAAUCAAACUCACAAAUCCAACCCCUACAAGAAUUUAACAAAAUAUAAAUAAAAUUCAAAUAUGAAUAUUGAUGUUGGUAAUAUUAGACUGAUGAUGUGGCCGAAAUAAUAUUGUGUUGUGGUUAGUGAAAACCUAUAAGAAAGGAAAUGUGAAGCGGUGGUGAGUGCUCACGGUAGUCACUCCGACGCUCAAGUCAGUAUCUUAAAGAAUAGAGAGAAUACAAUUAAUGACUCAGAGUUUUAAUAGUAUUAGAUAUAACAUAUUUUUUUCUCUGUGAUCGUUCUCUUUUUAUACUGUAAGAAGAUGGAGAUAAAUAUAGCGUUUAAUAAAAAUCUGGCGAUGAUGUGACUAGCUCGAUAAGGGACAUUACCAGCUAAUAAAUUAGUGAUUCCACUAUCAUAGGUGAAAUGGGAAUGUGCCUAAUAACGGUAAUUCUAUGCCAAGACUCGACCUAUCUGGGAAGGGUGAGUCUUACGGAAAACUCGAUGUUAAAGUGCCCAGGUCUCUCUUUCCCUAGGUGGAGCCGCGUUUUCCACUUGUCAGAUCCUUGCCAUGUGGACUCUAGUUUGUGGUGAUAAUUUAUAGCUUACUUUGAGUGGAUGUUAUGUAACAUCAGAGGUCCUCGCUGGUCUUCGACUCUUUAGGUUCGAAGGUGGCCAUUUGCCUUUUCUGUUUAGGACAUAUAGUGUGACCUUAGUUGUGAGCGUUGUUUCGCUUACCUAUGGUCGCCUUAUCUUUUGGGCCGCAUUCAAAGCUUUAUCGGCUAUUUUGCUGUAUAAGAAUCAUUCUUUCUUCUUUUUGGCUCACAACGAUUUCUCAUGGGAGAGAGGAAUGGAGGUCCUUCUUCUUCUGUUCCUGAGGGUAACAAAAUCUAUAUGGAAGAUAUCGUCAUGGUCUUUGAAGAGCAACUGAAGGCGGGUCAUUAUGAAGGUGCAACAUAUUACUUAGCUAUGAGGAUUACAACCAGUCUGACUAUAGCUGAUUUUUGGUGCUACGACCCCUGGGGCAGGGGCUGGUUUAUGCAAGAUUGGUUCCGAGAGCAAGGCUAGAAAGGUAGUUGGCUGGCGAAAAUUGCUUUAUGGCCUUACUUAGUAGGACCAAAGCCCGAUUGGUCUGGCUAAUACUCUCUUAUGGCCCGGCCUAGUGAAAAUUACCUUAUGGCCUUGCUUAGUGGGACCAACGCUCGAAUUGUCUGGCUGAUACCGCCUUACGACCUUGUUUAGUAGGACCAACAUCCGAAUGGCCUGGCGAAAACUGCUUUAUGGCUUGCCCUAGCGAAAAUUGCCUUGUGGCCUUGCAUAGUGGAACCAACACCCGAAUGGUCUGGUGGAAUACUGCCUUGUGAUCUUGUUUAGUGGGACCAACGCUCGAAUGGCUUGGCAAAAACUGUCUUGUGGCCUUGCAUAGUAGAACCAACGCCCGAAUGGUUUGGCGAAAAAUUGCCUUGCGACCUUGUUUAAUGGGACCAAUGUCCGAAUGGCCUGGCGAAAGCUGCCUUGUCGCCUAGCUUGGUAAAAAUCGCCUUGUGGCCUUGCAUAGUAGGACCAACGCCUGAAUGGUCUGACAAAAAUUAUAACCUUAUUUAGUGGGACCAACGCCUAAUGACCUAGUAAAAAUUGCCUUAUGGCCUGAUAUAGUGGGACCAAUGCCCGAAUGAUCUAGCAAAAAAUUGCCUCGUGAUCUUAUUUAUUCUCUCUUCGAGGGAGGCAAUAUCAUCGUUCCUUGUUACUAAAGAACACCUGUAACGACCCGGAAACCGGACCGCUACCGGCGCUAGGAUCCAGAUCGGCUUAAGGCCGCUGGGACCCGUAGCAAGCCUAACAUACAUCCUGUAUACCUGUUAAAUCCCAUACAUGAUCAAACAUAUACAUAAAAAACUUUAAACUUUCUCUUUCAUUUACCAAGCUUAACCUAUGCAUGCACAACUCAUAAACAUAAAACCCCAUACUGGAGCCCUCAUCAAAUGCUCCAAUGGGGUAACAUAUCAUACAAUAAGCUUGGUUUACAUAAAACAUCAAUAAAACAUUUUACAGAUCAUGUGCAAAUGGGAUUAACCAACAUACUAGGGUCAAGCACAACUCUAAUCCUCAAUAUACAUCAUUACAUUCCAAUACAUUACUAUACUUUACAUUACAAUGUCUUUUCAUGUCCACAGCUAGCUAUUACAUAAAACAUGACUUUACUCUUGCUGACUUCCUGAUUUAGCCCGUACCUGCAAACCUGGGGGAUUAAGGGAAUGGGGUGAGCUACUAGAGCCCAGUGAGCAGAAUAGUAAAAAUAUUAUAUUUAAAGUUCAUGCUUUCAUGAAAUGCAUCACAUCACAGACAAAUCACCUUAAGGAUGAACUUGUCACCAAUAGCCCUCUACAUUUCCAUUGGUGCCAAAACGUAGAAUGGGUCCUGGUCUUUCUCUUACAUAACAUAUCAUAACAUUCCAAGGUGCCAGGGACGUAGAAUGGGUCUUCCUGGACUUUCUCUUACAUAGUGCCAGGGACGUAGAAUGGGUCUUCCUGGACUUUCGUACCAUGUCAUCAUCAUAUCAUAUCAUAGUGAAGGCUAAAUGAUCAUUCAACAUUCAUCCACAUCAAUAACAUAAUAUGCAAUGCAACAUAUUCGUGGAUUCUAAUGCAAUCACCCUAAUAUAUCUCAUGGCAUUCAUGAUGCGUGAAUCAUGCUAAAACUUUUAUUAUUUGUUUUGAAACAUAAAGAGUCAUUCUACUCACCUCAGGCUAGCUCUGACAAGACACUGAAGCAGCUAUCUCACUGCUGGGGUCCUCGGUUCCUCGGGUUCGAACCUACACAGGUGGACUCAAAUGAGGGACCAAACAUACAUGAACAUGACUCUAAACUAUUCCCCAAAAACCCCCUAAAACACCUUAAAACAAUCAUAGAAAACAUGCAAAUUAGGAAGGCUGAACAGGGCACAUUCGGCGGCAGGUUCGGCGGCCGAAAGUCCCUCUAGAGCCGAAACUCAGCCACUUUCGGCGGCACCUUCGGCGGCCGAAAGUGGUUCCAGAGACGAAACUCAUGCAGGUUCGGCGGCACCUUCGGCUGCCGAAUCUCCCCUCCAGAUCUGAAAGUCCACUUUUGGGGGUAGGGUUCGGCAGCCGAAAGCUUGCCUCCACAGGCAGGUUCGGCGGCCGAAAGUCCUUCGGCUGCCGAACCUGAGUUCUUUCAAAGGGCAGAACUCAGCCUCCUCAUGCACAUUUUGCCUUCCAAACCAUUCAAACAUGCAUUUAGCUAUUCUACAAUAUGCAUACACAAGCCAACAAGCAUUUAGGGGUCUCAAACUAUCCUAAACCCCAACACAAACACCAAAAGCAACUCAAACACAUACAUUAACCAUAAAAGCACAUAAGACUUAACUCUAAACAACUAACCUAAUCAUUCAUUUCUACCCCAUGAACCUUCAAGAAACUUAGUCAAAAUAUGAAAAGAGGUGAGGAUCUACUCUUACCUCUUAAAGAUCGAGAGGAGAGGCGAUCCAACUCGGAAGUGGGAGAGAUCUAGCUCCUUGGGCCUCCAAACUCCAAAAACUUGUUCUAAGCUCACAAAUCUUCAAAAACCAAGUAAACGCUUGUUAACAUUUGAAAGAUUUGAGGAAAAAUCACCAAAACUAACCAUGGGAGGGCAUGGACUCACCGUUGGCCAAAAAUAGGGGAGAAAGCUCGCCCAUUUUCAGCCAUGGGUCCUUUUAUAGGUGGCUAGUCAGGCCACCUUCGGAAGCCGAAGGCGACUCCAAAACGCAUGCAUGUUCAGCGGCCGAACAUGAGCCACAUUCGGAAGCCUAACGUGCCCCCCCUAAACUAUCUCACGUUCGGCGGCCGAACUUGAGGUUCGGCGGCCGAACCUGGGGUUCGGCGGCCGAACCUGGGGUUCGGCGGCCGAACCUGGAAAUGCCUCCAUGGUCUUUUUCAUUCAAAACUCAAUUUCUUUCUUACUUAAAACCAUAAAAUACAUGAAAACAUUUUAUAAAAACAUGAUUUUCCCCUUCUAGAGGUUUUCGACAUCCGAGAUUCCACCAGGCGGUAGGAAUUCCGAUACCGGAGUCUAGCCGGGUAUUACAACUCCGCAUGUGAAAGUACCUUAUUAAUUUGUUAUUGAUAAAACUUUCUCAGAUUAUAGAUGUUCCAGGAAUGGGAAUGACUUGACCAUCUAACAUAGCCAGCUUAUAUGAACCUGGGCGAAUAAUCUUUAAGACUCUAAAUAAUCCUUUUCAAUUCUCACUCAACUUACCAGACCUGGCGCUGCCACCCAUUACAUCUGUUUUUUUAAGGACUAGAUCCCUUAUGUUGAAGGCGCGUGGCGUAACCUUACUGUUGAACAUUUUGAAUAUCUUGUUUCUAUAAACUGCUAUUUUGAUUGUGGCCUUUUCUCCCAAGAAUUCUGUUUGAUUCAAAUUGAAUUGCAUUUCUUCAGGAUUCUCUAAUAUCUCAGGGUAUUGUAUCCUGAAGCUGCCUACUUGGAUUUCUACGAAAAUGACUGCCUCGGCCCCAUAUACAAGAGAAAAGCGCGUUUCUCCUGUAGCUGUCCUAGGAGUGGUUCUAUAUGCCCAUAGUAUGUGGGGUAACUCUUCGAGCCAGUUGCCCUUGGCUUAGUUGAGUUUUUUUUUUAGACCUUGUAAGAUGGUCAUGUUUGUGAUCUCAGUCAUACUAUUGGUCUGGGGGUGAUAGGCUGAGCUGAACCUUAAGUCAAUUUUUCAUUUCUUGCAGAAGUCUUUGAACUUAGAGCUUGCAAACUGAGUUCCAUUAUUGGUGAUUACUAUCUUUGGUAUUCUUAAUCGAGUGAACAUGCUUUUGCUGAUGAAGGAAAUCGCUUGUUGGGAGAUGAUGGACUAUCGGGCCCAGGCCCAGCCCAUAACAAAAAAAGAAAAAAAAAAGAGAAAGGGAAGCAUUAAAAGCUGGUUUCGGGAAGGUCCCGAAACCACAGUAACCCUCCUCCUUCUCCAUGACGGAACAGAGCAGCCCUCUGUUAUGUUACAUGUUUUUAUAUGUAUAAAUAUCAGGGGAAGUUCUGUCAGUUUUUCGGGUCAUAUCAGUCUCUACAGUUUGGGGUUUGGGUGUGACAUGGACUAUAUUGUCUCAGCCUUUACCCACUUGCUGAAAUGGUCUACCGCCACAAUCACGAACUUUCUUGACCCAGUUGCCUUAGUGAACAGGCCAAGGAUGUCUAUUCCCAACUGAAAAAAAGGUUAGGGACUUCCAAUGGCCGCUUGCAUUUUUCCUGGGAUCCUUGAGAUGUUUUCAUGUACUUGGCAUUUUUGACACUUCUGGACAAGUUGCUUCGCGUCUUUCAUUAUCAUCGGUCAGUAGUAUCCUUGUCUAAAUGCUUUCUGAGCGAUUAUUCGAGCUCCUUCGUGGCUCCUGCAAUCACCUUUAUGGAUAUCCCUUAAGAUUUUUUGGCCUUCCUCCUUGGUAACACACUGCAGCCAUGGAUGUGUUGAGGACCUCCUGUAUAACCAACCAUCAAUUAGUAUGUAUUUAGAAGAUUUCCUUAUUACCUAUAUAGCUAGUAAUUCAUUGGCUGGAAGAUCAUCUUGUGUCAAGAAUUUAUAUACUUGUGUCAUCCAUGAUUCACCUUCUUCUAUAGGAAAGACUCUUCCACUUCCAUUGUUGGAGUUUGUAAUUCUUUAAAUUGAAACGGUUGGGUCAAGUGUUGUUCACCCGCGCUACUGAUCAAGCAUAAUUUAGCCAUAUUUUAAUUAUAUUUAUUACUGUUUAUUUACACAUUUUUCUAGCUUAAUUUGUGUUUUUGUUAUGUUUUUACAGAAAAGGAAGAAAUUGAAAAGUUGGAGAAAAAGUGAAGAAAAAGCUGAAAAAGUGAUUGGGUCAAAGUGAUUUGCCCAAAUCACUCGCAGAGACUGGCCAAAUCACUCGUAGAGAUAGAGACAAAAACUGGACUGAAUCCCAGAAAGCGAUUGGGGCAGAUCGAGCAAGUGAUCUGCCCAAAUCACCUUGACAGCAGAAAUUGACAGCAGAGGCGGGAAAACAGCAGGGAACCGAAUUUCGAAUUUUCAGAAGUCCAAAUCCAACUAAAUCACUACCAACACAAUUCCAAGAGCCACGAAAGAGUUUCUCACCUAAGGAAUUCCAGUUGCAAUUAAAUUCAACAUCAAAAGAGGAAUCACAAGCCAAAUUAAAAAGGGAUUUCAAAACCCUAGAAGGAUGGAAUUCUUCAGCUAUAAAAGGGCAGCCUCCAAACCAGCAAAGGCAUCUCAUCUUCAGCAAUUCUGCAGAAAAAUACAGCAGCUUGUCCUUUUCUUUCUUUUCAUCUUUUCUCUUGUGAUUUUGUCCACCAUGAGUGGCUAAAUCCAUUCUUUUCUAGUUGAAGUUGGUGAAUUUCAGAUUUGUGAUGAAUUGGGAGAUUUAAAUCUCCAUUGUUAAACUUCUAUUUAUUUUCAAUAUUUAUGCAAUUUGAUCUUUCUAUAAUUGUUGCUUUGCUUUUAGAAUUAAGUUAGGCCUAUUGCUUUUAAUUGCUUGAAUAACAAUUGUUUGAAUAAUUUAAGUCCGUAAUUGCUUAGAUUAUUUAAACACACAUUUAAUCAAGUUGCAUAAUCUAAACUUGACCACGCGGUUGGCAAGGUUAGAAUUAGGUUUCUCUAAGUCUUAAUGCAGUUAACAGUUGUUCGAUGCUAAAAGCUCCAAGGACGUUCUUUGGCAACUUGUUAACUAGUGUUUGAUUAGCGAACGUUUCCUAAUCAAACUAGAACUAAGGAGGAAUUUGGAUUGUGAGAAGCGUCUUCCACAUCCUAAACUAAUUUAUUGAAAUAAAUAGGAGUAUCGAAAAGAUCAAUGAUCAUUUCUAAAUAAACUGAAAUAGAUCUAUUCUUCAACUAGAAUUCUUCUCCUAUUGAAAUUCUCAUCUAUUUAAAUUGUUGCUUUCUCUUGCUAUUUAGUUUUAAUCAUCAAAACAAAACCCCUCUCUUUUAAUUUCUUGUUCUUUACUUAUCCAAGUCAUUAGUAGGAAAAUCCGUAGUGUCAAAUCCCUGUGGUUCGACCCUAUUGCCACUAUCUACAAGUUAAUUGUUGAUUGUUUAAUAGGUUUAUUUUUGACAGUUUCGACAACUGCUAUCAGCUACCAUCUUAGCUAGAAGAUCCACCUCUUCAUUGUUUCCUUUAGCCACCUGGCAAAGUUCGCAGCUACCAUGCCCGUCUUUAAUUUUGUCCAUCAUGGACCAAACAUUCUACUCGUAUUUGAUAAGGUUUGAUUCUCGGACUCUGAAUUGUUCCUAUAAUUGAUUAACAACCAAUUGUGAGUUACUAAAAAUAAUAGAUUUUUGUAUACUAAUUCCUUGAUGAUUCUUAAGUCCAUUAUUAUAGCUUUGUAUUUGGCUACAUUGUUAGUGGUAUUGGAGGUGAGUUUGGCUGCAUAUCGAAAUUUUAUCCCUACCUGAGAUUGCAAUAGGAUCCUGAUUCCUGAACCCCUGGCUCCACAAGCUCCAUUUACCUAGACCUUUCAUUCCUCUAUGGUCUCCUCCGAGGACCCUAAAGGUUCUAACGGCAGAGUCAUCUCUGCAACAAAGUCUGCUAGCACCUGGGCUUUCAUGGCCUUUCUUAGAACAUACUGCCAAACCUUAUGUUCGGCUGCCGAACAUGGUGCUGCCGCGGGAGCUCUUCUUUCGGCCCCCAAAGGUGGUCUAGCCAGCCACCUAUAAGAGGCCUCCAGUCCGAAAAUGGGGGAGUUUCUCUCUCCAUUUUCAGGCAAAGGUGAGUUCUUGCCCUUCUUUUGAUGAUUUUAUGCUUUUCCUUCAAAUUUUCAUGAGUCUUCGCUUGUUUUUGAAGUUUUGAGCUUGGAUCAAAGAUUUUAAAGUUUGGGAGACCGUUUCUCCUUAACCACAAGUUUGGGUCGCAUCUACAUUAGAUCAUCAAGAGGUAAGUGUAGAUCCUUAUCUUUUCCUAUGUUUUAAGUAAGUUUAAAAAGGGUUAAGGGUUAAAGAUGCAUGUUAUGGUUAGAUCUAAUGUUAUAGGCUUUGAGUUGGGUCUUGGUGAAUGUAUGCUCUCUCUUAUGUUUUGUUGUUGUUUAUUGGGGUUUAGGCUAGUUUUUAUACCCCUUAUGCAUGUUGGAGAGAGUGUGCAUGUUGUGGAAAGUUGGGUGUGAGGAUUGGAGAGUUUUGAGGCUAAAAUGCAUAGGGCAGAAUUGGGUUCUGCCAUUCUGAAGAACGUAGGUUCGGCGGCCGAACCUUGCCGAAGCAGGUUCAGCGGCCGAACCUUGCCGAAGCAGGUUCGGCCGCCGAACCUACAUGGGAGGCAGCCUUUUGGCCACCUAACUUGCCCCCGAAAGCAUGCACUUUCGGAUCUGUAAGGGAGUUUCGGCUGCCGAACCGGCCCCCGAAAGUUCCUAAGGGAGUUUCGACUGCCGAACCGGCCCCCGAAAGUUCCUGACUUUCGGAUCUGUGGAGGACCUUCGGCCGCCGAACCUGCCCCCGAAGGACCCCGACUUUCAGAUCCGUAGAGGACCUUCGGCCGCCGAAGGUGCCGCCGAAAGUCCUCUGCCCAGCCUUCCUUUGCUUGUUUUACAUGCAUGUUUUGUGAUGUUUUAGGGAAUUUUUGGAGAGUUGUAUGGAGUCAUGUUUUAGCUAUGUUUGGUCCCUCAUGGGAGUCCAUCUGUGUAGGAUCAAACUUGAGAGACCGUAGAGGCCAGCAGUGAGUCUGCUACUUCAGUUUUAGUCAGGCGUCAGCCAGAGGUGAGUAGAACUAAACUAAUCUAUUGUUUUUAAGUAAUCAAACUUUUGAGCAUGUUCAUGCAUCACGAAUGCCAUAUUUAUAGGAUGUUUGCAUUAGAAUUCAUGAAUAUGAUGCAUUGCAUAUUUACUGUUGUUCUGGAUGGAUGUUGGAUGACCUACUAGUCCUCGAGCAGGUUAUGAUAUGAUAUGGAUACGGAAGACCAUGGCCCAUUCUACGUGCCCUGGCACUAUGUAAGGGAAAGACCAAGGCUGCCCAUUCUACGCCCCUGGCACAGUUGGAUAUGUUAUGUUAUGUUUAAGAGGAAGUCCUGAGGAGUUCCAUCGAGGGCCGGGCAUUGAUUUGGAAUAUGUAGGGGUUACUGGUGACAAGUCUAUCCUUGAUGUGUAUUGUUUGUGUUGUGACGCAUUCCAUGAGAGCAUAUGUUUAUUAAACUGUUUUUAUGUUCUGCUCACUAGGCUCUUGUAGCUUAUCCCUUUCCCCUAACCCCAGGUUUGCAGGAUCAGAGAUAGAGCGGGAAGUCAGCUAAAGGCUGGUAUAAGCUCAUGUAAUAGAAUAGUAGUGGACAUGUACUAUGUAAUGGAUUAGAUUUGUGCUUUGCCCUAGUUUAUGUUUUGUAUAUCCCUGUUUAUCAUGAUCUUUAUGUAAAAGUUUUAAUGAUAAGUUAUGUUGAACCAAGCUUGAGGCAUGUGAUGUUUACCAUACUAGAGCAUUUGAUGAGGGCUCUAGUGUGGGUUUUAUGUAUACAGUUUAUGGUGCAUGCACAGGUUGAGCUUGGUAUAUGAAAAGUUUAAAUUUUUAUGGAAAUGUAUGAUCAUGUUUAGGAUUUUAUUAGGUACACAGGAGGUAUAGUAGGCUUGCUACGGGUUCCGGCGACCUUAAGUCGAUCUGAAUCCUAGCGCCGAUAGCGGUCCGGUUUCCGAGUCGUUACAUAGGAGGCUCUGACAAGGCUGUUUUUACCCAAGCCUAACUUAUUAAAAACAUUUAGGAUAAGAAGGUUAACAAAACUAUCUGUAUCCACCAGUACUGUCCUUACUUCAUAUCAGUUUAGGAGAAUCUUAACAACUAGUGGGUCGUUUUGAAAGAAUCCAGUUGCCUUUUUUGCGGGCCAAACCUUACCUCUUACCUAGUCCAUGGUUCUUGAUGGACAGAUAGGACAUACUUUGCUACCCGCUUAUUUUUCCCUUUACCCUUGUCAGGUCCUCUAGUGAUAACAUAUACAAUUUCGACUAUUUCCAAGAAUAAGGAAGAAAAGUUCCUUCUUUAGAAAGAAAAAGAGAACAAGAGCCUGGUGUAAACCCAAAUGAUCAGAGAGAAUCCAAUGGGUUUUUCGAUAGCGGAACCAAAUGAUGUUGAUGAGACUAGACUGAUGAUAUGGCUGGAAUGAUAUUGUAUUGUGGUUGGCGGAAACCUGCAAGAAAGGAAACAUGAGGCAGUGAUGGGUGCUCAUGAAGCCACUUCGACGUUCGAGUCAAUAUUUUGAAGAAUGGAAAGAAUACAAUAGAUGAUUCAGAGUUUUAGUAGUAUUAGAGAUAGCGUACAUUUAUCUUUAUAAUCGUUCCUAUUUUAUACUAUAAGAAGAAGGAGAUAAAUAUAGCGCUUUUUAAAAAUCCGACGAUGAUGUAGCCGACUACUCGAUAAGGGAGAUCGCUAGCUAAUAUAUUGCUAAUCCCGUGAUUACAAGCGAAAUAGAAAUAUGCUUGAUGACGGUAACUCUGCACCAAGACUGUGUCUAUCAAGGAAGGGCGAGUCUUGAUUAAAAACCGAGUGUUAAAGUGUCUGAAUCUCCCUUUUAUCGGGCGGGGCCGCGUUUUCCACUUGUCAGAUCCUCGCUACGUGGCUCCUAUUUUGUGGUGACAACUUCUAGUUUACUUUAGAUGGAUGUUAUGUAAUAUCAUAUAUAAAUUUGUUUGUAGCUGUAAUAAUUUUACAAAUAGAUGUUGAAAAAUAAAUUUCUUUAUAGACUAAUUUUAUGUUGGUUUGCAAAUCUGUUUAUAUACAUUUAAUUUCGCAAACGGAUUAAUGUCAGCUUGCAAAUAUAUUUAUAUCUAUUUAAGUUUAUAAACAGAUUAUAUGUCCGGUUAUAAAUUCUUUUGUAUUCAUUUAAUUUUACGGACAUAUUAUAUGUCCAUUUGUAUUCAUUUAAGUUUAAUUCAACGUCAGUAAAUUAUAAAAAAUGAGUUCUCAUUCCCUAUAAAAAGGAAGGCCUCCUUCUCCCUUCAACGUUAGUAUAUGAUUUUUAUCAUAUUAUAGGAGUUUAAAUAUUUUAAUUUUAAAAUAUUUUUAUUUAAUUUCAUCUUUAAAUUAUUUUUAAACUUUAGCUAAUAAUCGAGCCCCAUAUGUUAAGCUCAAAUCAAGUUCAAAUUCAUUAAAUAUUUCAUGAAUUGAGCUUAAACAUAUAUACUUUUUAAUCAAAAAGAUUGAAUUUUAAAAAAAUCGACUCAGUUCGAUUACACCCAUAGCCACUUGAAUUACAAAUGAGUUUACUAAAAGAUCAACUUUAAUAGAUUUACAAACGGAUAAAUCAUUUAAAUUAUAAAUGAAUUUAUAAAUAGACUAGCAGUUUGCAUUAUAAACAUAUUUAUAAACGGAUUUAUAAAUAAGAGAGAAUAUAAAAAUAAAAAAUACUAACUGAUACCAAAUCUGCUUGUAUCACAAAUGAAUAUUUCAUUUAUGAACCCAUUUGUAAUGUAAACGGGUUAUUUUCAAACGAAAAAAAAGUUGGUAUGUAAUCCGUUUAUAAAUUAAAUUACAAACGAAAUUUUAUAUUUUACAAAUGGAUGUAUCCAUAUAGAUCACAUAUAUAUAUUCCCUAUCUCGUCUCUGAUUUCUAUAGUUUUGAGUAUACUCAACAAAUUAAGAAGAUUAGUCAAGACUGAUCUAUUAAUAAAGUUUAAAUAUAUUCGAUAUAGAACCGGCUUAAAUAUGUUCAACAACUCAAUUCUAAAUAGAACUCAGAUUUUUUACUUUAUUAAUGGAAGGCUUAAUAUCUUAAUAAUAUUAAGAGAUUUCUUAUUUUUAAAUCUCAUCAUUUUCUGUUAAAAAAAAAAGUCUCAUCCAAUAGGUCUCACCUAGGUAGAGUGCAUGAUCUUACAACUAAAAAAAAAAUUAAAUCAUAUCUAAUUUUUCUUCUUUGGAUCUCCUUGGAAUUGCCUUCUCUAUACCUCCAUAUACAACUCCAUACAUUGUUCUUUAAUUCUAAACUAAUCUUACAUAAUCUAAUUAUAUAAUUUUGUAAAGAAAACUCAAAUUAUAUCUCAAGAGAGUAAGAUGAGAAGAGAAAUACAACAAAAAAUAACAAAGAAAGGCAGGACAUAAAAACCUUAUUUUUUCAAAAUAAAACCAUACAUGAUCAAUCUUAUUGGUCAUUUUUGUUCAUAACUAAAAUCGAGUCAUCAUACACCCUUAAAUUCAAAAUUUAUUGGAAAGAAAAAAAAAAUUUCCUCGUUAUUCGGUCACUCGAUAAAAUUAUGUGCGAACUAAUUUUUCUAUCAAAAUUCAUCAAAAUAAUUUUAAUAAUAUAAUAUAUUAUAUAAAAAUCAGAUUUGGAAGUUUUGAGAAUUUUUAGUUAUAAAAAACUCUUGUAAUGAAUUUAAUUCACACCACAAUUUUAUUUUGACUAGAAUUUUAAUUUGACCAAAAUUCUCAAUUUUAAUUACAUUAAAUUCCAAUUAAAUAAUGAUCUAAUUUCAAUAAAAUUUAAAUUCUUUGGUGUUUAUUCAGAUAUGAGUUUUCAUGAAGCUUCCUAAACAACACCAACAAUUUCAAGAAUUUUGAAAAUUGCAUGCCUUGGUUGAAAAUACCUUUUUGGCCUAAUCUUAAUCUCAAUCUUGGAUCAAAUAAGAUUUUAAUCAAUUCUCAUUAUGUUUAGAAUUAAUUUAGAUAAGUUAACAAAAAGAUUUGCACAAAGCAGUCUUUAUCAGAUUCUUAUCCAAAAAAUUCAUAAAAGCUUUUUUCAAAUUUUGACUAUUUCAAAUUAAUUCUGAAAUAUUUAGAAUUAAUUUAUAUCAUAUCAUUCAUCUCAUAAAUAAACAAAAAGCUUUGUUCAAAUUAGUCCCUACCAGAUUCUUAUCUGAAAAAUUGAUAUUUACCUGAAAAACUGAUAAAAGUUAAAUUUUGUAAUUUUUUUGGAUUUUUUUAAAUUUUAAUUAAUUAUAAUUAAAUCUGAAACUUUUAAGAAUAAUUUAGGUUAGGUUAUUCAUAUCAGAAAUUAUCUCAAUCAAGUUAAACAAUUUCAAAAAAUCUAGCUUGGUUGAAUAUCAAUAAAUAAUUUUUCAUUAAAUCUUUGAUGGAUAACCAGGCUCUAAUGCCAUUAUUGAUUUUGAUUUUUUAUUAAAUCAAUACCAUUAUUGAUGAUAACAAUGACCGAAAAUCUCCGUUGAGACGGUGAGGAAUUCUGUCAAAAGAGGAAGAAUUUCUAGGUUGGUUAUUUAUUAUGUCAAUAUUUAAAUUGUUAUUUUAUCUUAAUUUGUCAUUAAACUUCUGGAUUUUUGAAACAUUUUGAUUGCAUAUAAUAUUUGAUGAUCUGAAAUUCAGAAAAUAGGGUUUACAAAUCAUUCUGUAAGUUUAGUCUGAGAGGAGAAUGUUUCUCCCCUUUUAUUCUUUUCAUUUGUCUGUCAGUGACGUGUAACGGCCUCAUUGCCAUUGGGCCACCUGUCUCUACCAUACGGAUACGGACAUACUAGAAUAUCAGAUCUAUGCUUCAUGCGUAACGAUCAUUUAAUUUUCCUCUAGCAUGCAUGUUGAAGGACCCACCAGGCGGAUGGACUGACCACAUUUCUUCUGAUGGACUGGACUGAAAGAGGAGAUUAAGGCUGAGAUUAGAGGAGGUCGGAUCUUUGGGCCGGAAAAGGCAGGGCCGGCCUGGUUGAAAAAUCUGAAUGGUGCCCGGUCUUAAGACUGGGCGGACUGGACCUGACUCACGUGGGAGAUUUAAAAAUUUUCAAGUCAUGGGCUGUCAUUGUGGACCUGGUCUUGGUCCGAAAUAGUGAAAUUCAGCGAUUAUCAAUAUUAAUUAAUAAUUAAUUUAUAAAUCAAACUCUUUAAAUUAUAAUUAAUAUUUUUUAUUUAUAUUAUAAGCUCAUUACAUGAGGAAUCUAACCAUGCAUCAUAAUUAUCAAAGCGCUAUAAAAUCACCCUUUCAUAUUUCGUUAUCAUACAAUAAAUUUCUUUCACAAUACUACAUCAAUCUCUAUUUAAUAUAAUCUUUGUAUUAUAUAUUUUUCUGAAAAGGAUCAAAAUUUCUAUAAUCAGAGAUAAUUUAAAUAUUAACACAUUUACAUGUAAUACAAAUCUAACCUCGCGAACUUUUUAUAAUUUUCUCUAUAUUAUAUUUUUAAAUACCAAAAACUUUAUUAUCUGUUUAAAAUAUUUAAUCAAAUAAAUAAAAUUAAUUAUAAGCAUUAAAAAAUAAAAAAUGUUAUUAAUAAUAAAUAUUUAUUCCUUUUACAUUCAUACUCUAAAAUAUAUUACUGAAAAAAUUUAUUAAUUAUUUUUUAUAUUUUAAAAAAUAUAUUUUCGUAUUUAAAUUUUAAAAUAAAUCUAUUAAUUAAUUUUUUGUUAGUUUUAACUAUUAAAUAUUUAUUAUUUAAUUUUUAUAAUAAAAAAAAUUCAUUAUUAGUUAAUUUUUUAAUUUUAAAAAGUAUAUUAAAAUAUUUUUAAAAUUUUUUAAAAAAAUUAUUAAUUAGUUUGUUGAUAUUGAGAGUAUUUUAAAUUUUUUACUGUAAUACUUAUGAUUUAAAUUAAAUAAUAAAUUUUUUAAAAUCUCAUAAAUAUUUUAAUAUAUUUUUAAUCUCAGGAUCAAUGGGCUUGCUCUUCACCCCGUCUUGGGUGGACCGGCUUCUUGCUUUAAAUUACUGGACUUGUACAAAAAUUCAGUUAUAAAGAAAAUGCAGUUGAGAUCAUCCCCAUAAAUCAACCGAAUCCAUGAUUUCUCAUUUGCCUUUUUUUUUUUUUUUUUCCCAGGAGAAGUAACUGCAUAACCGCCUUACAUAACUGCAACUAGUUACGUGCAUGUCAUGGUUUUAGGCCAAUAAGCGUAGUUCCGGUGCACCAUGUGACCUUCAUGGUAUGGCGCAUCGGACCAAUGAAACGUUAACGCAUCAUAUUUUGCAAUGAAUUAAAAAUUUUAUUUCAAAUAAAAUAAUUAAAACUUUAUAAAUAUAAGUGCUAAAAACUUAGCAUACACAUGUUGCCAUUUCAUUGGUCGGGGACUAUACAAUAAUUUUCCGAACAGAAGAAAGUGAGAGUGCAGUAUUUUUCUCCAUUAAAAAAAAUUAAUAACAAUGCAAAUUGUCGUUAAAUUUAAAUUAUUUUUUUAUUUUGUAAUAUAAUAAUUAUUAAAUGAAAACAAAAUUUCUUAAUUAUUGUAUAGAAUUUUUUCGUAAUUUUUUAUAUUUUAAUAAUUAUUUCUUAGUUAUUGGGAGGAGAUCUUUCGUUCAUGUGGAAGAAUUAUGGAUUUGCAGUUGACUUUUCUUUAAAUUUUAUUAAUUCGGUUGUUUUGAAAUGUAAUAUUUAAUAAAAGUUUACUAGUUAUUAUGAGUUUCUAAAAUUACGACAAUAUCAGUUUUGAAAUCUUAUUCGAGUUUUAUCUCAUAUAAUCUUUUUUUCAUGAUUUUAUUCGAAAGACUUGAAUGAUUGCUCGAGAAAUGAGAAAGAAUGGUGAGUAUUUUUAUCAAAUUAUCUUAUAUUUAGAUAAAUAUUUAAAAAAUAUUUUUAUGAAAUUAUUUUAUGCAAUGAUUUAAUUUUAAAUGAUUGUAAAUCUUUGUUAGAUUUUAAAAUUAUAUUUCAUUUUUAUUUAAUAAAAUUUUAUUAAUUGAAUCGGUAAUCUUACUUUAAAAAAAUAAUUAUUAAAUAAUAAUAAUAAUAAUUAAAAAUAAUGAAUGAAUGAUAAUAAUGAAGUACACAAUACUUUCCUUGAAAAAGAAAAGUUUAACUUAUACUCAUUGUACGGAUGUAUGACCCAUAAACCAUAUACUUGUCAAUUUUAUAGUGAUUUUGAGUGAUUUUCAUUCUUUUUCCAGUCGAUAUGGGAUUUGAAAAAGAUAAUUAUAAUAAUCAACGCUCUUAUUUUAAACAAAGAUAUUUCAUAAUAAUAAUUAAAAUUUAACAUAAUAAUUACCAAUGAUAUUAUUGGUUAUUAUUUAUAUACCAUUAAUAAUGUAAAUAUAAAAUUAAUUAUUUUUUUAUUGUUAAAAAUUAUAAUAGUUAUUUUAGUUGAAAAAUAAUUUUUUUACGGAUUUUUAAUUAUGUUUAUUUUUAAUAUAAAAUAAAGAUAUUAAAUUUUAUUGAUAUAGUAAAAUCAUUAUCAAUAAUAAAUAGUUUGAAUUAAUACUAAUUGAUUGUUUAAAUUCUCAUAAAAAAAAAACCAUUAAUGAGAGAUUAUAUUAAAAAUAAGAAAGUCAAUUUAUAUAUAUUUACUAUAAUGUAAAAAAAUAAAUAAUAUUUUAAGAUAAAUAAAAAUUAUAAAAUAAAAAAAAAUCGAUAUAAAUCAAUAAAUUAUUUAGAUAAAUCGAUAUAUAUUGACUGUUAUUAAAAUAUUAAAUAAAUCGAUAUAAAUCGAUAAAUCAUUAAAAUAUUAAAUACAUUUAUAAGUUAUUAAAAAUAUUGAUCGAUAAACCAAAUUAUGAGAACGUUUGAUUGACAGCUACUUUCAACAAAUACAUUAUGAUUAUUUCAUUUGAUUUUGAAGUAUCACGUUUAACAAAAAUUUUGGACAUCGUUAUGACUUGGCUCAAAUAAUCAUAAAAUAAUCAUGAAUGUCUAAAAAAAACAUCAAGAUGACAUCAUGAAUGAUUUUCAUGAGCUUCAACUUGCAGUGUAAAAUUAAGAUAUUUUUGAGCCAUUAUCAACUUGUCAUGAUUUUUCAUUUUGAUAGCUAUAAAGUCAUGAAAAUAUCUAACAUAUAAAAGAAGCUUUUCAGUGAUUAAGAAAAAUAAUGGGAUAAUCUCUUUGAAUUCUAUAUAUAUAAAGUCAAAAACCAGAAUAAGUAUAAAGAAAAUAAGAAAGAGAAGUUUUUGAUGCAAACUCUUCGUCACUUCUUACUCUCAAAAUAUAUUUUCGUAAUAAAAAAUACACUUAGAACGUAAAUUAUAAUUUUAAUUUAUGUAAAUAAUAUGCGAUUAAUAUCUAAAUUAUAUAAAAUAAAUGGAGAUAGAAUUCUUAAGGAUAUGCAUGAUUUAUGGAUUAGACUUAAUUAAUUUUUUUAUAUUUUCUUUAAUAAUUAAGCAGUAUUUAUAGGCUAUACUAUUUUGUAUUAAAGUUACAAUAUUAUUUUAAAUAAUUUUUAAUAUUUUAAAAAACAAACAUUUUGGACAUUAUUAUGAUUUGUGUAAAGUAAUCAUAAAAUAAUGAUGAUGUCUAAAGGAAAAACAUGAUGAUGAUAUCACUGAUCAUAAGUUCUUAAGCCAUCAUCAAACUAUUUUCGUGGCCUUCAACUUGCAUGGUAAAAUGAUUAAGAUAUUUUUGAGCAUCAUCAACUUGUCAGAUUUUUCAUUUUCAUAGAGAUAAAGUCAUCAAAAUAUCUUAUCCAUCCUUUUAUAUAUAUAUUUUUUUUAUUUAAAAAAAAAAACUGAAAAUUAAAAAAAUAAAAUCUAAAAUUUCUCAUAUUUAUUUAAAUAUAUUUACAAUUAAUUUAAACAUAUAUUUAUUUAUGAGUUAAUAAAAAAUUAUCCUUUAUAUAUAUAUAUAUUAAUUCCAUCCCAUAUUAAUUUUUUUACUAUUAAUUAAAAAUUUAAAUUUAUAUUUAUUUUUUAAAUAUAUCUUACUAUUAUUUCUACCAUAAAUAUUAAUAAAAUUAUCACAUUAUCUACCACAUUAUACUAAUAUCAUUCUAUUAUAUUAGUGAAAUAAGAUAGAAUUAGUAAUAAUUUAAAGUUUAGAAUUUAAUUAAUAAAUUUUAAAAAUUUAAGAUGCAAUUCUAAAAUUUUUAAAAUUUAUAAUUUUUCUCAUUAUUUCCACUAAAAUUAAAAUUUAUAAGAUUUUUUUAUAGUUUUAUAAACUUUAUUAUUAAUUGUAUUAAAAAUAAUUUUAUAUUAUUAUUAUUAUAAUUUUUUAGUUUUAUCAAUAAGUUAUUAUCUUAAUUCAAUUCCGAAUUAACUCACUUUUUAAAUUAUUUUUUUCUAAAAUUUACUCUAAUUAUUAUUAUAAUUUAUAAAAGGUUCAUGAUUCAAAAUAUAAAAUUAAUUUUUAAAUAUAACUAAUAAUGAAACUUUAACAUUUUUAAAAUUAUAAAAUUGCAUUUUUCAUAUAAAAAAAACUUAUAAAAUUUAAUUUUUAGAGUUAAUUGCAAAAAAAAUCUUAAAUUUUAAAAAAUUUUAAUUGAAGUAAACUUUAAAAAUUUAUCAAUUUCAAAAAUUUACCAACUAAAUCUUGAACUUUUAAAUUAUUAUUAAUUUUAUUCUAAAUUUUAUUCACGUGAUACAAUGAUCAAAAAAUAAUUGAUUAAUAUAUUUGUUAGAGAAUUAAAAGUAAUAAAUUUACACGAGUGAUAUUUGUUUUUUAUCUAUUUAACUAAAUUAAACUAAGAUUGAAUAAUAUUUUCUUUUUUUUUUUUUUAAUUUAGGAGGAAUAUAAUAUUUGGCUGUGAUUUGCCCUAUAUUGGAUAAAUGUUGUAUACUCAUGUUUAAAUUUUUAGUUAGAUCUUUAUCAUUUAAAUAUUUGAUUGGAAAGUAGUAAAAUAUCUUUGGAGACAUUUUUUCUGAGAUUAAUGACAAAUAAUAAUUAUGUUUAAAGAAUGACAAAACAAAAAAAAGCCUAUUAUGGUCUGGAAGCAAGAGUAAUAAAGAUUUCCAGAAUCAACCACAUUAAAUUAUUAAAAUUAUUAAACAAAUCCCUUAAAUUUUAAACUAUGUUAAAUAAGCCAUCUGAAUUUAAAAAUAGAUUAAACAAAAUCCUUUAACAAAUAUUUGGGCAAAUUUAAGGAAGAAAUUAAUAAAAUUCGGAUGCAAUGUGUAAAAUUUUGGACCCCUUUGAAAAUGCUUUUAAGUGAAAGGACUAAAUUUUAAUGGGAGAAAUCUCAAAUUCACCCUUAAAUUAUGGGGGUGGACUCAAGUUUGUCUAAAAUCAAGAAUUAGACUCAAUUGAAUCAAACUUUUGCAAUUCAGCUUAUAAAUGGCUAUUUUUUAACGAGUGAAUGCGAGUGAGAAACGUGCAGAAAAAUCAUUAACCAAAAUUAAUAAACCCAAAUCACCAAUAAAAAUACAAAAUUUAAAUCACCACCACCGCCUCCUUUUUCUUCACCCAAUAAAAAUACAAAACCCAAAUUACCACCACCAUCUCCUUCUUCCUCACCCAACAAAAUAUAGAACUCAAAUCACCACUACCAUCUCCUUCUUCGUCUUACCCAGUAAAAUUACAAAACCCAAAUCAUUAUCUCCCUGUUCUUAUUUUUCUUCUUACUCAUCUUUUUUUAUAAUCUCAAAUCUCUUAUAUCUCAUAGAUUUUAAAUCGAUUUGCAUCUCCAAUUUACAUGUAUCAAGAUUCUACAUGGAUUUGUAUGGGUAAUGCAAAUUAAAUGUGAGUUGUGUUCAUGAAGAUAAAGUUAUUCCUUUUGAUGUGGUUUCUUUGUACGGAUUGAAAAACAUCGAGAAUGUAAAGAAUGAGAAAAAAUUAUAGUUGGAUUCUAGAAAAGUGAAAAGGAUUUCAUUGGAGAUAAAAGAAUUUAAUAAAUAUAGAGCUUCAAACACAGAAGAUUAUAGCGAUACUAAAAUUGAAUUAAAUUUGAUGUUUUUGUUAUGAAUAACUUUGAAAAUCUAUGUUGAAAAUUGAAUUUCUGGAAUGGAGCCAAUAGAGUAUUCUUUCUUUUGUUUCUUUCACAUCCUUUUUUAUUAUUAUUUCUAAUUGGAGUUAAUGCACUUUCUCAGUGUGUUUCUCUCACAUGAGAUCGAUUUGUCAGAAAGUGGAUAUUUAUGAACUGAAUUGUAAAUGUUUGAUUUAAUUGGGGUUAAUUUUUAAUUUUAGACAAAUUUGAAAAUACUACCGUUAUUUGAGAACAAAUAUGAGAUUUCUUCUAAUUUUAAUUUUCUUAGUUAGUGGCAAAAUAACAAAAAUGUCCAUUUAGGUUUUUAAAAGAGCGAUGCUCUUUCUCUCUUCCUCUCUCCUAGUCUCUCUCUUUCUCUCUUUUCCCUUUCCAAUGCCCUUACCUUCUCUCCUAUCUUCACCGAUAAGCGACUCCUUUAUUGCUAAAUAUAGAAAAUAUUGUCGAAUAUGCCCCCAUUUUAAGCUUGGUGAUUCUAUCAAGGCAGAAUCGCACCCAUAAAUUAACCUACCAACUGCUAGACCACCCUCAUUCUCAUUGUCAUGCCACUGUCAGUUCUGUCACAACCUUCUCACCAAUAAUUAACAUAGGUAAAUUAUUGUAUAUAUAUUCUAACAAUAUUAGUGCCUAGCCACAUUCUAGGCCAUUUUUCUGCCGAUUUUGACCUCUUUUUUGGUGUUCCAGACUAUAUUUAGAUUCUACACUUUUGAGUAAUUUGAUUUGGUACCUUCCAUGCAAUCUUUUUUAUAGAACACUUUUGGAUGAUUCAUGAAUUUUGAGGUGAUUUUUCAAGUUUGUGAAGCCAAUUCUUGCUAGGAUUUUGGUAUAUUUUAGCUCAUAAAAUCGUUGGCUUACAUACGUAUCUUUGGUUCUUUAAAAUUUCAUAUGAACCUUAUCAAUGGGAUCUCCAAUCACAAAAGUCGAUUUCUACCACUGUUAAAUUCUCAAAUUGGCCUAAGUCCCAUUCCCCCUUAAUGUUUCAUGUAUUAAUUUUCUUCCUAAAAAGUUUAGUCAGAUGAUCAAUCAAAAUCACUUUUGACUUCAUAUAAUCAAUGGAGAUUAUUUUAUCUUUUAGUAGCUACUUCACACAUUAUGUCUUAAACGAAUAUAAUGUCUAUUUUUACUAUUGGAAGUAUUAUUCUUUACAAUGACUAUUGUUGUUUGGCAAUCACAAGGCAGAGAUACAGAAUGUAUUAAUUUUACACCCAAUAGACAAUGUUUAUGAAGAAGUUUUUUAACCUUUCAACCUUAUUACCUAUCAAUUCCAGAGCUAUAAAUUCUGACUUAGUAAUAGUAGUUUGGUUGACUGAUUUUCAAGUAAUUGCACCACCAUCAACAGGAAAUACAUAACCAUUAGUGAAUUUUAUCUCAUCUGAAUUAAAAGUCCAAUUAGUUGUAUCCUUCUAGUACAGUAAAAAAUCUACUAUAUAAAAUAUCGUAAUUCAUGGUACCUCUUAAAUAUUUCAUAAGUUUGAUUAAUGCAACCUGAUGAUUGUGGUUGGGAUUGUGAGUUUAUUUAUUCAACUUACAUACAACAUAAGUUAUAUUAGGUCGAGAUAAAUUCAUCAAAUGUAAUGAACUCUUAAUGAUUUGUGCAUACUCAUUUUGAGCAAUAGGAUCACCUCUACUUUUCUUUAAUUAAGAUUUAAUAUCAUAAGGAGUACUCACUGGUUUAAUAUAAAAUGUCCAAACUUCUUUAGAAAUUUCUGUAUGCAAUGCUCUUGUGACAACGUUAUAUGCCAUCAUUAUUACUUAUGAUUUUAAUACUAAAUAUCAUACGUGUUUUACUCAUAUCUUUCAUAUCAAAUUUAGAAGCAAUAAAAUUUUUUGUUUUACAAACUACUAUACCAUAAUUGGUACUAAAAAUGAGCAUGUCAUCCACGUAUAAAUAAAUAAUUACACAUUCACUAUUUACAAAUUUUGUAUAUAUACACUUAUCAAUUUCAGCAGAUGAAAAAUCAUUAUAAAUUAGAACUUGAUUAAAUUUCUCAUGCAAUUAUUUGGGUACUUAUUUUAGACUAUAUAAAGAUUUAAGAAGUCUGUAAAUUUUUUUUUUUUUUGCCAGAAAUAACACAACCCUCGAAUUGCACCAUAUAAACCUUUUAUUCUAAAUUACCAUUUAAAAGUGUUGUUUUAGUAUCCAUUUGAUGAAUAAAAAAAUUUAUUUAUCGAAGGCAAAAUAAUUAAAACUCGAAUAGAAAAAAUUAUAGCUACAAAGGAAAAUGUAAAAUAUUUUCCUAUUGAUCUAUCAAGAUUAUAUUUUCUUUCAAAAAUUCAUUUACAACCAAUGGGUUUAACCUCUAAAGGUAAAUAUGCUAGAAUUCAAGUUUUAUUUUACAUAAUAUAAUUAAUUUAUAUCUUAAUGACUUAUUUUAAAAAAUGAGUCUAAGAAGAAGAAAUAACAUCCGAAAAAUUUCUGGGUUCAUUAUUAACAAAAUAUGUAUAAAAUCAUUUUCAAAAUAAGUCUUUUUUCUUUGUCUUCUAAUUCUUCUUAAAACUUUCUGUUCAAAAUCAUUUUGAUUUUUAAAAACAUAAUGUUCAUGUGCAUGAGAAAUUUUUUCAGAUUUUAAAGGAAAAACAAUUUAAAAAAUUCGUUUUUUUUGUUUUAAUUAUAAUAUUACGAUCAAGCACAUUCCUUUUC